rnacentral:lncRNA from 1 species
UUGAAACUAUUAUUUGAGAUCAAAAAGAAAUUGAUGGUCGAAGCUGGAAUCGGAAGAUUUCCGCUGAUCAAAUUGGAGCUUAAGUCAAGAACUUCAAUAUUCUUCCAUAGAAAGUGCUCAACUUCUGUCAAAGAGUUGUGAGAUACGUUUAAGUAAGUCAAAGAGCCAUUCCCCACCUCUUGCAUCCACUGUGGAAUCUUGCCUUCAAUUUUGUUGCAAGAGAGGUCUAAGCUUUCCAAACUUUUAAGCCCUUUUAAAAAUUGGGGGAAUUCACUAAGAUUGCAAGAUGACAAAAGUAAGUCUGUAACAUUAGGCAAUAUAUGAUUAACACUAGAUGUAGUAUUAGAUGUUAAGGAUAGGCUGUUAUAUGAAAGGUCGAGAUGUUUUAGAUUUGGAAGGUUUGAGAACAUGCGAAACUCUAUGACACCACUAAGAUUAUUUGAGGAUAAAAGGAGCCAGGUAAGAUUGAGAAGUUGGAAUAUUGAAGAUGGAAGGGGACCUUGGAGUUUAUUAUUUUCUAGAUCUAAAUAUUCUAGUGAUUUGGUUUGGAAUUCUUUGAUAUGCCCACUGAAUUGAUUUUGAGAGAGAAUUAUACCCUUUAAGGAGGGAGCAGUAUACAACCAUGACGGAAGUGUUCCAUUGAGUAAAUUGUCAUAUAAGACUAAAUAUAUUAGAUUCGGAACAGCGGUUACCUCAUCUGGAAUAGAACCUUCUAAAGAAUUUUCAGAUAUUUCCAAGUAUUCCAACUGCGUUAGGUUUAGAAUUGACAAUGGAAUUUGUCCACUCAAUUUAUUUGAUCCCAAGUCUAAAUGAGUGAGUUGCAAGAGGUUUCCAAGUGAUCUUGGAACCGGUCCUGAUAAGUUGGAAUAGGAGAGAUCUAAAAACUUCAAGGACACAAGAUUCCCCAUCGAGUCAGGCAAUCCUCCAAAAAAAUUUGCGCCUCUAAGAAUCAAGUACUCCAAAGAUGAUAAAUUUGUGAUUGAGACAGACAAUCCUUGAAAGAAAGAAAUUCCUGAUAGAUCUAAGUACUUUAAGGCCCGUAGAUUAUCAACCGAAUCAAUGAAUUCUGUAGAGAAGGACAUCCUCGACAGAUCCAAAUGUUCGAGAUUGCUGCUCCGGUUCAACUUCAAAGGAUCAAGAUUGAGGUUUUGGUUGCCUCCCAAGUUGAGGAGAUUGAGGUUUGGCAAAUCAAAAAUGUUUUUUGGGAAUUUUCCUUGCAAAUCACAACCAGCAAGACUGAGAGACCUUAGAGAAGAGGAUAGAUUCAUGAAGACAUGAGCAUUAACAUAAGACAUGUCCAUUCCACCCAAAAAUAGAUGUCUGACAUCGGUUAGGUUGUGAACAAGUCCCUCCAGAGCAUGUUUGUCAAUUGUUUGUUCACCAAACACAGAGGAGGAGAGAUCAAGUGAAACCAAUUUUGACAGGUGGGAGACUUGGGAUGGGACUUCUCCUGCAAACCCUGUAUAAGAAAGGUUGAGGUAGAAUAGGCUAGUAAACCGACCGAACUCGGAUGGAAUUUUGGAAAGAUUAAAAUCAUUGUAGGCAAGGUUGAGUUUUUGAAGGUGAGGAAGAAGGAAGAGAGUGGUAUUGGAAGGGAAGUUGCCAUAUAGCCAACUGCAGCUCAAGUCAAGGGCAAUAACAUGAGCAUUUAGGUGGUCACAAGUGACCCCAUCCCAUGAGCAGCAAUCUGUACCCUCCUUCCAUGAAUUUGUCUUGGGAUAAGAUUUAAGGCCAGCAUAAUCAUUGCAAUAAGAAGAAACAUCCUCUGUUACGGAAAAAGAGUCCUUAAACUGGAUUAGGGAAGAGCAGGAGUGAGAUCCUGAAGAAGAAAAAGAAGCAUAAAGAUGGGGAAAGAAGAGGAAUAGGCAGAGAAAGAGAUAGGGGGCCAUGUUAUGUUUGUAGAGAAAGAAGAAGGAUAGGAAUGGUAUUUGUAGGCAACAAAUAGUACCACAACAUUGGUGUUACAGUAUUUUUUUUUUCUUUUACAUUGAAAAGCUAUGGAUAUUAGAUUUUCAAAAAUUUUGUAUUUUUCACCAUCAUCAACAACCACUUAGUCUUCUUUUUACCAUAUAUUUUUCAUUCUAUUUUUUUAACAAAAUCUUGUAUUUCAUUUCAGCUUUCAAAACAACUAAAAAAUUUAAAAUUGAUGAAAUUACAAAGUAGAUUGACUUAGUCUUCUUUCCUAUAACAUUUAAAAGAAUAUCUUGUCAACCAAAGUUAAUUAAUGUGAAAAUUCUUUUUCACACAAAAGAACAAAAUUGUGCUCUAUUCACUAAGUUAGAGGAAAAAGACUGCUAGAUUUUUUAAUUAUUUUUUCUUUGAAAAAUUUGAAAGUUUUUUACUGCCUUUAAGCCAAUAAAAAAAACAUGUAUUAAUUUUGUUUUUAAAAAUAGUGUGUUUGAUUGUGAAAUGAUUCAUCAUCCUCCACCACAAACUAUCCAUAUUUGCAGUGUGAAAGCAGCUACUUUCAUAAAGAAAUUACUUAGGAGAUGGGAUCCACCAAUUUUACCUAAACUCGCAUCAACAUUGUUUAGCAAUUUCAAAAUAGACUAAUUAGUCUGGUUCAAAUACCAAGACUACAAUAUCUAUUCACUUCACUUGGUCUUGCUUCCUAUCGCUGUCAGCCAAACUUGAUCGACUAGCAGUAAGGAAAUUUCAGUCAUUUGCAGCAUAAUGUACAAGAAUUCCACUCCCGCAAAAUAAUUUACAAUAUGGACUAACACACUAAAAAUGAUUUUUAAAAAAUGAUUUUUAGAAAGUAAUUUUUGAAAAAUGGUUAGAAGAUAAUUUUUGUUUCUGAAAUAGUUAAUUUUUUUUGGUGUUUAGAUAAAUUUUGUUAUGUUUUCAUUGUUUACUUGAGUUUAUUUCAUAAAGCUUAUGUAUAUAUUUUAAUUAAUCAUGUUUUAGUUUUAAUUAAUCUUAAUUUACUUAAUUAAGCUUAAUUGUUAACUUCGUACAUUAGAAUAUAAAUUUAUGUUUAAUUAAGUUGAAAGUGAUAAAUAUUUAUUUUGAAUAUUAUUUGGAUAAGUUGAAAAAUGAUUUAAUUUGAUAAAAUUGAAGUCAGGGUCAUAGAACUAUGCUUUUUACUGACAAAAUCUUAGAUGCAGUGAUUAUUGAGACUAAAAAAUGAAAGUCAUGAAAGAAGACAUAAAUAGUUGAACCAUACAAAAUGUUACAUUUUGUAAUGCAAUGAAAUAUAGAUGAAUUGUUACAAAUAUAAAGACAGAUGCAUUGCAAUGCAACCUUUCUCCAUAGGAAAAAAAAUUUGACAGACUUCAAAACAAGAAAUUAUGAAGAUACAACAUACACACUUGAACAUCAUUUCCACUAACUAGAUCCUUCUUCGUCCAUUGCUGCGACUGCCAUCCUUUGACUUUCUUCUUCGCUACUUCUCAUGUUGGAUUCAACCAAAUUCACCAACCAUUUUGGCUUACUAAUUUGGAAAACAACAUAUCCCACGACCAUUCCAAACACUACUCCGCAUCCAUAACCUAUCAACACCAAUUUCCAACCAAAAGAGAUGUUUGAUUUUGAACCAUCUUUUCCAAGCACAUUUGGAGGUGGUGGCUCAAUGAUGUUGCAACCUUUUGAGACCGGAAAUCCACAUAAUCCCUUGUUUCCUUCAUAUGAAUCAUUUCCAUAUGUGUUGAACUGUUUGCCUUGAGGAAUCUGACCAUGGAGUUGAUUUUCAGAAACAUUGAAGGACGAAAGAAAUGCCAGAUCUGCAAAUCUAUUUCGAAUUGUCCCUGACAACCUGUUUGAAUAUAGGUCCAACCAUUCAAGACUCGUCAAAUUCCCUAUUGAAGUGGGGAUACCACCGUUAUAAACACUGUCAUAUGGCAUGAAUAACAUACUCAUAUAUUUACUGUCACAUGGCAUGAAAAACACACCCUCAUAUUCACUUUCACAUUAGUCAUCAUAAGCUUAUAACAUAUGUCAUAGCAAUCUCAUAUAUAUUCAUAAUUUCACAAUUUCACAAGCGUACAUAUAUCACAUUUAAUCAUAUGCGCGAGAAAACUUACUCUCACUUACUCUUGGAAUUUAGAGUAGGAAUUUAGGCUACCACUAAAUUCUCAUCAAUUAAACAAUGAAUCAUCUACGAGCAACAAUUUCAAACCACAAUGAAUCGAGAGCUCAAACUAGCUCUUCCUCUAACUCGUAGAAGGCUUUAAUGAAUCCGAGGCUUCACACAUGACAAUCACACAAUACUCACAGUCAAAUGACAGCCAAGGACCCACUUAAACUAACCAAAAUAAAAGCCUAAGCUACCUUCUAAUGUAACCAAACCCUUUAGCAUGACGAACUUAAAAUGCAAAUAUAUCAAUCUACACUUAAACAUUUUCACAUGAAACAAGUUUCAGUCAUCCCCCAUAUUCAUUUAUAGCUAAACUCCAAUCUUUAAACCACACAAAACUACAAGUUUCAAGGUAUAACAUUUUUCCACAAAUUUUGACCAUAAUAAUGAAAAUUCAUUAAAACACGGGAAAUCUAUAAUGAAACUUAGAAGUAAUUUUAAAAAACUUCUAAUUAAGUUAAAACAAGUUGAAAAACACUUUUAAAUCACUUUUUCAUCCACAAUCUCGAAUUCCACCAUUAAUGACCCAAUUUUUAGGUUUAAAUUAAAACAUGCAAUUUCAUAACUAAAAUCUCAAUUUUAAAGUCUAGAUAACAUUAAAAACUAAUGAGAAAGUAAAUGGUUACCUUUGAUGAAAGAUUAAACGAGUUUUGAAGUAAAUUUGAAAAACCCACAAUUGAAGAAGAAGAUGAAAUCUAUGGCGUUUUUGAGUGUUUUUCUUGGAAUUAUAAGAAAUCAAAGUACUAUUGUUUGGGAAUAAAAAUUAAUUGAAAGAUCAAGGGAAUAGCAAAGGACGGCAAUAGCAAACUUUGGAGAGUAACUAUUGUGAAAUAGAACAGGGAAUGGGGUUUAUUAGGUUCAAUUUAAAACAUUGGUAAAACUUCAAUCUAAGUGCUCACUAUUUUAACUUUGUUACAAAUUAGUUCUUUUUCUAAAUUUUAGGUAUUUAAAACUCAUUUUCAGAAAUCGGCUCAAUUCCCUAAUAGCCAUUGUCGAAAACAUUAUUGAAUACUAACCUUACGAAAUUUUGAUUACAUAUAGGCUAAAAUUCCUAAAAAAAAAUUGAAACUCUUAGAUCCUAUUUUGGGGUGUUCACGUAUGGUCAUGAUUCAUGUUGAAUUAAUACAUCAUUCACCGUAAUAAGGCUUAUCGUUGUAAUAAUUAGUUAAAUCACCUAAUAUCUAAAAAAUUAUUAUUAUUUUCAUAAAAUCAUUGAUCAAAUUAUUGUUUUCAAAUUUCAUACAUAAAAUUAACAAAUAAAGAUAGCUCUAAAUAGCAAAACCCAAUAUGUGUAACAAGUAUUUUUAUUAAUCCAUUUGGAAUGUUAAGGUUUGCUGGAGCAAAUAAAUUGAUUAAUGCUUUGAACUUUCCAAACACUUUUUAUAGUUUUGUUAUAUGCAUUUUGUAUAAUUAGUAUAUUUGAAUAUAUUAGAUACAUCGUCUAAAACAAUGCCAAUUGUAAUUUUUUUAUAUUUUGUUGAUCAUAAGCGUAUUAUAUAAAUAAUUUAAAAAAAAAAAGAUGGAGUGAUACAUUUAUGUAGUGCUUAUGAAUAUAAUGUUGGAUUAAAAUCCUUAAUUAUGAGUACAUAUGUAUAUGCUUGAUAUUACAAUUAUCUUAAUAAUUUUGUUUCUGUUCUUGUUGAUUGAUGAUUAUAGAAAUCAUUAUUCUUCUGAAGGCAUACUUUGUUGUCAAUGACAGUACCUGCACCCUAAAAAAGUCACCAGCUUUAACGACUACAAAAGUUGUCCUGCCUGAUAUUUAUUAAAAAAUCACCAGGAAGCACAUUGUCAGGACAUCCUUGCUGGAAAAAAACUUGGUAGGAUGGUUUUUCUGUGCAAACUUAGUAAUUAAUUUAUGUUGUUUUUACCAAACUUUGUAGCGUUUCACUUUUGGUAAAAUUUCAUCCUUGGUCCCUUUAAACUCCUUUUUGCUUUAAUUUGAUUGCUUUCUAGCGUUGCAAAUUACAUAACACUCUUCAAAUGUCUUAUUAAAUUCUCACUUUUACGAGUGCUAUGUUAAUCAAUUUUAAGUUCCAUAUAACACUUACAUGGCUACAAAAUGUGUGUGUGUGUAAGUGUCCUCAACCACAAACAAUCCAAAUUUGCUGAGAAACCACCCAUUAUAUAUAGGUUUGCCAAUGAGAUGGCAAGCAGACUGCUAGCUAGAAAUUCAUGCAUCUUUGAAUCACCAAUUCAAUUAAUAAGCUUAACUAGAGGAAAUAAGGACUUUACACCACCAAUUAAAGCAACCUAUAUGUACCCUUUUACAGUCUGCAUUGUUCCAUGUUUCCAUUCAUUACAUCAUUCCUUCAACUCUGCUAUAUAUUAUUACCGUCUCCAGAAAACCAAACCUUUUACUGCUAACUUGUAAAAAAAUUAUGAAAAUACAACAGAGAUCAUUGAGACAUUGUUGAAGUUGGCUUGCAUGCAGACCAAGAAGCACACCAAGCUGUCCGAGAUAUGCAAGUUGCAGCUGAAGCUUAUGCUGCUGUUUUGUUACUUUCAAAUAGAUAUUUUAUUAUUUACUUAGAUAUGAACUAAGUUGCUGAUAUGCUUGAUGUAAUUAGGAGCUGAUAGAUUGAUAAAUCAGCUUUACCAAGUGUACAAGCAAUGUUUAUCAAGUUACUAAGCCACUUAGUGGAGUUAGGUAUGUGUUUAGGUAACAUUUUCUUAUUUUUGACCAGCUGAUUGCUUGCUAUAUGUAAUGGCAUUGUGCCUUCAUUCAAAUGUAAAGAAAUCUUUCAGAAAAUUCUUCUUCAUUUGGUCUUUACCUAAGCAUUUUUUUUCACGAAGCUCUUGCUGUUUUUGUUUUGUUUGUUGAGCAAGAUAACAAUGCUUUAUGCUUAAGUUUCUGUCAAAAUUUCUCAUUCUGUUUUCUUAGUUCCUACAGACAUUUUGUUCUCCUUUCUCCUUUACUGAGCAGUAGCAAAGAUUAUCGAGACUAAAUUGAAAUCCAUGAAAGAAGACAUAAACAACACCACCAUACAAAAUGUCACACUCAAACAAACCAUUACAGAUACGAAAUGCAAUGAAAGACAGAGGAAUUGGUACAAUAAUAAAGACAGCCAGAUACCAAUGCAACCCUUCACCAUAGGCAAAACGGUCUACAAACAAGAAAUUAUGAAAAAUACAACACUAAUUCUUGAACAUCAUUUGCAGUAAUUAAAUCCUUCUUCGUCUACUGCUGUGAUUGCCUUUCUUUGACUUUCUUCUUCGCCUCUUCUCAUGUUGGUUUUCAACCAAAUUCACCAACCAUUUUGGCUUACCAGUUUGGAAAACAACAUAUCCCACGGACAUUCCGAACACUACUCCGCAUCCAUAACCUAUCAACACCACUUUCCAACCAAAAGCAAUGUUUGAUUUUGAGCCAUCUUUUUCAAGCACAUUUGGAGGUGCUGGAUCAAUGAUGUUGCAACCUUUCGAGACCGGAAACCCACACAGUCCCUUAUUUCCUUCAUAUGAAUCAUUUCCAAAUGUGUUGAAUUGUUUGCCUUGAGGAAUCUGACCAUGGAGUUGAUUUUCAGAAACAUUGAAGGACGAAAGAAAUGGCAGAUCUGCCAAUCUAUUUGGAAUCGUCCCAGACAACCUGUUUGAAGAUAGGUCCAACCAUUCAAGACUUGUCAAAUUCCCUAUUGAGGUGGGGAUAUCACCAAUAAGGUUAUUAUGAGAAAGGUUGAGCCCUUUCAGUAAGUUAAGCUUCCCAAUAACCUUUGGAAUACCCCUUUCAAACUGAUUGUUUGAUAGAUCAAUGAUCAUCCACAUGGUGAAAAUUUUCACCAAUUCCCUAUCUUGUCCUUUCAUAACAAUUCCAAUGGAAUAGGUAUAGAAGCCAACUCCAUAAUCAUGCACCCCCAUGUAUGACACUGUACUACCAAUCUUCUCUAGAUUUAUGAUAGCCUUGAAGCUGUUGAUGUAUCUCACUGGUAGGGGUCCAGAAAAAUAAUUACUUGAGAGAUCAAAAAUUUGGAUUUUAGAGAAAAAAGGGAUAGACUUGGAGCUAUUGACACAUAAGGAACCAUGCAGUUGAUUUGACUUCAAUACAAGAACUUGUAGCUGUGGAAGACUUCCCAACCAGUGAGGAAAUGUAUCAUUGAUCUUGUUGUUACCAAGAUCUAGCACUUCCAGACCUCUACAAUUAAGGAUGGAUGGUGUCAAAGGCCCUUCUAACAGAUUUCCAUUUAAGUUGAAAUUACUCAAUCGGCAUCCCUUUGCAAAUGCUGGAGGAAUCGUCCCAUAAUACUUGUUCUUCUUCAGAUUCAAGAAUAGAAGGCUGUUGCUCAAAUUUCCAAAACAUUGUGGAAUUGUUCCACUCAAGUUAUUGUGGGACAAAUCAAGAAUUUCAAGAAAAGCGGCAUUGCAUAUUAAAGAAGAGACCUCUCCAUUGAAACUAUUAUUUGAGAUCAAAAAGACUCUUAUGGUCGAAGCUGGAAUCGGAAGAUUUCCACUGAUCAAAUUGGAGCUUAAGUCAAGAACAUCAAUAUUCUUCCAUGGAAAGUGCUCAACUUCUGUCAAAGUGUUGUGAGAUACAUUUAAGUGAGUCAAAGAGCCAUUCCCCACCUCUCGCAUCCACUGUGGAAUCUUGCCUUCAAUUUUGUUGCAAGAGAGGUGUUGAAGUAAUGGUCAGCAUGCAGCAACCAAGACUGUCAAAGGCACUACAUGCAGAAGCUGCUGGUUCACCUAGUCAGCAAGCUGUUUAUGUUUCAUUUUGUAAUUUUAAGUUAGAGUAAUGUAACUUAGUUGCUUUAUAACUAUGUUAGGUUUAUGUUUGAUGUAAUUUUGAUGUUGACUGAGCUGAUAAAUCAGCUUUGUUUGUUUAUUCAAGCUAAUUAGCACAAGUUACUAUGUGUAUUAGUGGUAGUAGGUGAAGUUUAGGUCAACCUACUGUUUUGUCAAGAUUGUAAACUUGUUUUAUGUAUUGGCUUUGUGCCAUAUUUAGUUUGAUGAAUGAAUUCAAGAAGUUAUCAUCCAUAUGCUCUCCAUUUUUAGUUUUGCUUAAAAAUCCAUUUGAGUUUUCUGCUUUGUUUCUCCUACAAGUCACGAGACUUGCCAUACAAGCAUUCUGCUGAAGCUUGCUGCUGCUGCCUCUUGCACCAACAAUUGGUAUCUAGAGCCACAUUCUUAGAGGACCUGUUGUAGUUCAGUAUCAAAACGAUGGCAUCAUCAGGUUUUUCACCAGCUUCACCACCUGUCUUCAAUGGAGAGGGCUUCAACAUUUGGGCAGUUAAGAUGAGGACUUACCUGCAGGCAUUCGACCUAUGGGAAGUUGUUAACUCAGAUGCUGAGCCAGCACCUCUUCGAGCUAAUCCAACAGUUGCUCAAAUAAGGCAACACACUGAUGAAAGGACAAAAAGGCACAAGGCCAUGUCAUGCAUACAGAAUUGUGUGACAGAUGUGAUCUUUAUGAGGAUCAUGGCCUGUGAGACACCAAAGGAGGCUUGGGACAAGCUGAAAGAAGAAUUUCAGGGGACUGAGAAAACAAGGCAACAACAGCUGCUCAAUUUGAGAAGAGAUUUCGAAAAUCUCAAAAUGAAAGAGGAAGAAACAGUUAAGCAGUACUCAGACCGGAUUAUGGCUGUUGUAAACAGCAUAAGGCUCCUAGGAGAGCAAUUCAGUGAAGCUAGAAUGGUUGAGAAAGUCAUGUCCACUCUACCAGAGAGGUAUGAAGCUAAAAUUUCAUCCCUCGAAGACUCAAGGGACUUGACAACUAUCUCCUUAACUGAGCUAAUCAAUGCCUUGUAUGCAUAAGAGCAAAGAAGAGCUAGCAGACAAGAGGAGCACCAGGAAGGGGCUUUUCAAGCCAAAGAAGCCUCGAGCAUCAAAACUCAUAAAGGCAAAAAGUUCUGGAAAAACAAGCCUAAGCCUGAUGCUGCUAGGAGCAGUGACCAACUCUGCAGACAUUGUAAAAGAGCUGGUCAUCCAGAAGAUAGAUGCUGGUUUAGACCAGAUGCAGUAUGCCAAAACUGCAAGAAAAAAGGCCAUGUUGAAAAAGUUUGCAAGAAUAGAAGCAAACCAAGACAGAAUCAAUUUCAGCAACAAAAGGUGGAAGCUCGAGUAGCUGAAGAAAGUAGUGAUCAAGAAGAACAUGUUUUUGCUGUGUCAUGUGCAGCAAAUCAGAAGAAGGGUUCAAAGGGCUGGCUUCUAGACAGUGGGUGCACAAACCACAUGUCACCAGAUGCAACUAUCUUCAAAACCCUGGACAGAACCUGCAAAACCAAAGUAAAAAUUGGAAAUGGUCAGUUAAUCAAUGCUGAAGGAAGAGGAGAUGUGCUGAUUCAUACUUCUACAGGUGGCAAAAUCAUUUCAAAUGUACUUUUGGUACCUGAAAUCGAUAGGAACCUUCUCAGUAUAACUCAACUACUUGAGAAAGGUUACUCAGUUGUUUUCAAGGAGAAAGAAUGUCAAAUUUUUGAUCCAAGUGGAUCAAAUCUUAUAACAGUCACCAUGACUGAUAAAUGUUUUGAAGUAGACUGGCCAAAUGACUCACAUUCAGCCUGCAUAGCCUCCACUAAUGACUCGAGACUCUGGCAUCAGAGGCUUGGACAUGCAAACUACAAAUCCAUAGCCCGCAUGGUCAAUGAAGGUCUGGCAGAAAAUUUCAUUGAUUCAGUGAAGAAUGAUGAGCUUUGUGAGAUAUGUCAGCAAGGAAAAUUGGCAAGAUUGCCAUUUCCAACAAGCACAACAUGGAGAGCAUCAGAGAAGCUCCAGCUUGUGCAUACAGAUGUGUGUGGACCAAUGAAGACUGAGUCUCUCAAAGGAAGCAGGUACUUUAUUUUAUUUAUUGAUGACUUAACAAGAUACUGCUGGAUUUAUUUUCUAAAACAGAAAUCAGAAGUACCAUCUAUGUUCCUGAAGUAUAAGGCUGCUGUUGAAACUGAGUCUGGUUGCAAACUUAGAGCAAUGAGGUCAGAUAAUGGAACUGAGUACACCUCAGCUCAGUUCCAAGUCUACUGUGAAGAAGCAGGUAUCAAACACCAGUUGACUAAUGUGUAUACACCCCAACAGAAUGGGGUCAGUGAAAGGAAAAACAGAAGCUUGAUGAACAUGGCAAGAUGUCUUCUGUUUGAGAAGAAUUUGCCCAAAAGUCUGUGGGCUGAAGCUGUUAACACAGCAGUUUAUCUCUAAAAUAGGCUCCCAACCAAGGCUCUGGCUGAGAAGACUCCAUUUGAAGCCUGGUUUGGGUUUAAGCCAUCACUGGCUCAUCUCAGAACCUUUGGUUGUCUGUGCUAUACUCAAGUUCCAGCUGAGAAGAGAAGCAAGCUAGACAAAAGAGCUCAAGCAGGGAUCCUGAUCGGCUACAGCUUGGUUAAGAAGGGCUACAGAAUUCUAGAACCUGCUACAAACAAGAUAUUGGUUAGCAGGGAUGUUGUUUUCAAUGAAAAAGGACACUGGAAUUGGGAGAAGGCUGAACCAGAGGCAGUGGCUGAAGAUCUGGCAGUGGACCAAGUUGAAAAUGGUGAAAACACACCUGAAAUGGAUGUAGAUGAUGUUCCAAUCAGAGGCACUCGAUCACUGGCUGAUGUUUAUGAAAGAGCACAAGUGGCUACUGUUGAACCAAAUUGCUUUGAAGAAGCAGAAAACCAGGAGGACUGGAAGCAAGCAAUGAUUGAAGAAAUCAGAAUGAUUGAAAAGAAUCAGACCUGGAGUCUGGUUGAUAAACCAACAAACAGGAAGAUUAUUGGUGUCAAAUGGGUUUAUCGAGUAAAGAACAAUGCUGAUGGUAGCCUAAACAAGUUAAAGGCUAGAUUGGUUGUGAAAGGCUUCAGUCAAAGGUAUGGAUCAGACUACCUGGAAACCUUUGCACCAGUGGCCAGGUUAGACACUAUUAGACUGCUAGUUGCCUUAGCAGCACAAAAACAGUGGCUGAUACACCAACUUGAUGUAAAAUCAGCAUUUCUGAAUGGAUUCCUUGAAGAGGAGAUUUAUGUGGAGCAACCUCAAGGUUUCAAGGUGUCUGGCAAAGAAGAUAUGGUGUACAAGCUCAACAAAGCCUUGUAUGGCUUGAAACAGGCUCCAAGGGCCUGGUAUAGCAGAAUAGAUGGCUAUCUGACCAGUCAAGGAUUUGAAAGAAGUCUUAGCGAGCCAACUCUGUAUGUUAAAUCAACUAGUGCUGAAACUCAGCUCAUUGUCUCAAUAUAUGUCGAUGACCUACUGGUGACAGGAGGAGAUCAUGAGAUGCUAAGCAGUUUUAAAGUCAAAAUGCAACAGCACUUUGAAAUGUCAGACUUGGGAUUGAUGUCUUACUUCUUAGGCAUGGAAGUAACUCAAGCUAAGAAUGGGAUUUGGCUAAGUCAAAAGACCUUUGCUAUGAAGGUUCUCAACAAAUUCUCAAUGGAGAAUUGCAAAGCAACCAGCACACCAGUUGCUGUUGGAGAAAAACUCUCGAGCCAAGACAAGCAUGAAAAGGUUUGUGAAACAACCUAUCGAAGUCUAGUUAGAUGUUUGUUGUAUUUGACUGCUACUAGACCUGACAUAAUGUAUGCUGUGAGUCUACUCUCGAGGUUUAUGCAUUCUUCAAAUGAAAGUCAUUUUAGAGCUGCAAAAAGGGUUCUAAGAUACAUCAAAGGAACUUUGUCCUAUGGAAUGCAGUUUACCAAGGCUGAGAACUUGAGGCUAGUUGGAUAUUGUGACAGUGAUUGGGCUGGUUCUUUGGAUGACAUGAAGAGCACUACAGGUUAUGCAUUCAACAUAGGCUCUGCUAUGAUAUGCUGGAGCUCAAAGAAGCAAGGAGUAGUGGCUCAGUCGACUGCAGAAGCAGAAUAUGUGGCUGCUGCUGCAGCAGUCAAUCAAGCCAUAUGGCUUAGAAAAAUUUUGAAAGAUAUCAAUCAUGAGCAAAAGGAAGCAACUGAGAUAAUGUCUGACAACCAAUCAGCAGUUGCUAUUGCAAAGAAUCCUGUUUUUCAUGGAAGGACCAAGCACUUCAACAUCAAACUUCAUGCAGUUCGGGAAAUGGAACAAGCUCAUGUUGUUAAGCUGAUACAUUGCAGUUCUGAAGAGCAAAUUACUGAUAUUUUAACAAAAGCACUAAGUGUUUCCAAGUUUCAACACCUGAGAGCUAAUAUGGGAGUUUGCAACAUGCUAACCAAGGAGGAGUGUUGAAGUAAUGGUCAGCAUGCAGCAACCAAGACUGUCAAAGGCACUACAUGCAGAAGCUGCUGGUUCACCUAGUCAGCAAGCUGUUUAUGUUUCAUUUUGUAAUUUUAAGUUAGAGUAAUGUAACUUAGUUGCUUUAUAACUAUGUUAGGUUUAUGUUUGAUGUAAUUUUGAUGUUGACUGAGCUGAUAAAUCAGCUUUGUUUGUUUAUUCAAGCUAAUUAGCACAAGUUACUAUGUGUAUUAGUGGUAGUAGGUGAAGUUUAGGUCAACCUACUGUUUUGUCAAGAUUGUAAACUUGUUUUAUGUAUUGGCUUUGUGCCAUAUUUAGUUUGAUGAAUGAAUUCAAGAAGUUAUCAUCCAUAUGCUCUCCAUUUUUAGUUUUGCUUAAAAAUCCAUUUGAGUUUUCUGCUUUGUUUCUCCUACAAGUCACGAGACUUGCCAUACAAGCAUUCUGCUGAAGCUUGCUGCUGCUGCCUCUUGCACCAACAAGAGGUCUAAGCUUUCCAAACUUUUAAGCCCUUUUAAAAAUUGGGGGAAUUCACUAAGAUUGCAAGAUGACAAAAAUAAGCUUGUAAGAUUAACAGUAGAAGUUGUAUUAGAUGUUAAGGAUAGGCUGUUAUAUGAAAGGUCAAGAUAUUCGAGAUUUGGAAGGUUUGAGAACAUGCGAAACUCUAUGACACCACUAAGAUAAUUUGAGGAUAAGCUAAGUUGGGUAAGAUUGAGAAGUUGGAAUAUUGAAGAUGGAAGAGGACCUUGGAGUUUAUUAUUCUCUAACCAUAUCCAUUCUAGUGAUUUGGAUUGGAAUUCUUUGAUAUGCCCACUGAAUUGAUUUUGAGAGAGAUAUAUUGUCUUUAAGGAGGGAGCAAUAUACAACCAUGACGGAAGUGUUCCAUUGAGUAAAUUGUCAGAUAAGUCUAAAUAUAUUAGAUUAUGAAAAGCGGUUACCUCAUCUGGAAUGGAACCUUCUAAAGAAUUGUUAGAUAUUGUCAAGUAUUCCAGCUGCGUUAGGUUUAGAAUUGACAAUGGAAUUUGUCCACUCAAUUUGUUCCAUCCCAAGUCUAAAACAGUGAGUUGCAAGAGGUUCCCCAAUGAUCUUGGAAUCUGUCCACUCAAUUGGUUCAGCCACAAGUCUAAAUGAGUGAGUUGCAAGAGGUUCCCUAAUGAUCUUGGAAUUUGUCCACUCAAUUGGUUCUUCGACAAGUCUAAAUGAGUGAGUUGCAAGAGGUUCCCCAAUUUUCUUGGAAUUUGUCCACUCAAUUGGUUCUCCGACAAGUCUAAAUGAGUGAGUUUCAAGAGAUUCCCCAGUGAUCUUGGAACCAGUCCUGAUAAGUUGGAAUGGGAGAGAACUAAAAACUUCAAGGACACAAGAUUCCCCAUCGAGUCAGGCAAUCCUCCACAAAUAUUUGCGUCUGAAAUUAUCAAUUGUUCAAGAUUGCUGCUCCGAUUGAACUUCAAAGGAUCAAGAUUGAGGUUUUGGUUGCCUCCCAAGUUGAGGAGAUUGAGGUUUGGCAAAUCAAAAAUGUUUUUUGGGAAUUUUCCUUGCAAAUCACAACCAACAAGACUGAGAGACCUUAGAGAAGAGGAUAGAUUCAUGAAGACAUGAGCAUUAACUGAAGACAUGUCCAUUUCAUCCAAAAACAGACGUCUGACCUCGGUUAGGUUGUGAACAAGACCCUCCAGAGCAUAUUUGUCAAUUGUUAAUAGUUCAUCAAACCCAGAAAGAUCAAGUGAAACCAAUUUUGACAGGUGGGAGACUUGGGAUGGGACUUCUGAAAACCAUGUAUUGGAAAGGUUGAGGUAGAAUAGGCUUGUAAACCGACCGAACUCGGAUGGAAUUUUGGAAGAAUUAAAAUCAUUGUAGGCAAGGUUGAGUUUUUGAAGGUGAGGAAGAAGGAAGAGAGUGGUAUUGGAAGGGAAGGUGCCAUAUAGCCAACUGCAGCUCAAGUCAAGGGCAAUAACAUGAGCAUUUAGGUGGUCACAAGUGACCCCAUCCCAUGAGCAGCAAUCUGUACCCUCCUUCCAUGAAUUUGUCUUGGGAUAAGAUUUAAGGCCAGCAAAAUAAUCGCAAUGAUCAAAAGAAGCAUCCUCUCUUAUGGAAAAGGAGUCCUUAAACUGGAUUAGUGAAGAGCAGGAGUGAGAUCCUGAAGAAGAAAAAGAAGCAUAAAGAUGGAGAAAGAAGAGGAAUAGGGAGAGAAAGAGAUAGGAGGCCAUGUUAUGUUGGUAGAGGAAGAUGAAGGAUAGGAAUGGUAUUUAUAGGCAACAAAUAAUACCACAACAUUGGUGUUACAGUCUUUUUUCUUUUACAUUGAAAAGCUAUGGAUAUUAGAUUUUCAAAAUUUUUGUAUUUUUCACAAUCAUCAACAACCACUUUGUCUUCAUUUUACCAUAUAUUUUUCAUUCUUAAAAUUGGAUUAUUUUCUUUUAGCAAAAUCUUGUAUUUCAUUUGAACUCCCUAAACAACUAAAAAAUUAAGAUUGAUAAAAUUACAAAGUAGAUUGACUUAGUCUUCUUCCUUGUAACACGUAAAGAAUUUCCACGCAAAAGAACAAAAUUGUGCUCUAUUCUUUACGUUUGAGGAAGAAGACUGCUGGAAUUUUAAUCCACUGAUUCCAUAAAAACGUGUAUACUUAUAUAUAUAUAUAUUUAUAACCUCAUAAUUUAAAUCUAAAAUCUCAUUUGUUAUAAAUUCUGAUAAAUUUAUUUGGGAAUUGCUAUUUUUCAUUCGUUAAUUAUUUCUCUUUUAAUCGAGUAAAAAAUUAAAACUAAAGACAUAAUGAUUUAUUUGGUAUUUUUUAACUUCGCAAACGAAAAAUUAUUUUAGCUUUCUAUUUUUUUUUAUCUCUUUUAGUCUUGAAAUUUAUAUGGUUCAUUAAAUCACCCAAAAAAAUGAUGAAAAAAAUAACAAAACUAGCACCUACGUGGCUGAUGUUGACCCUUAAUAGUUAAUGGCAACACCUAUGUAGUUGUUAACAGAUACCACACCAACACUGUUUGUUGACGUGACAAUGCCACAUGAUCAAUAAUCGCAGACAUGGUAGCGCCACGCCAUCGCCCAUUGAUGACAUAUUAACCUUUGAGUUAAACUCAAAUAAUUUGGUCCCAAAUAGUUUUCAACACAAAAGAAUAGAGGAAGAAGACUGCUACAGGUUUAACUAUCAAUUGUCUAUUGACUAUACUUUUAACUCCACUAAAAAAGACCAAGACUAAGACUAUCAAUUGUCUAUUGACUACACUUUAACUCGACAAAAAAAGACCAAGACUAAGACUAUCAAUUGUCUAUUGGCUUCACACUUGCUGUUGCUUCCUCCUAUUUCUCUCACCCAAACUUAAUUUACAAGCAAUGUGGAAAUUUUGGACAUUUGCCCACAACGUACAAUACUUCCACACCAUUUGCAGUAUUGACUACGUUUACUUGAGGGAAAACAAAGACAUGAACGCUGGAAAUUUUAACUAGUUUGUACCGUCAAUGAAGCUACGUACCUAAAAGCCAUUUAGGAUAUCAAUUCCUGUAAUUGGAGUAAUCUCAUCGUUGCUGCAAUCUUUUGACAGUUUAAUCGAAUCUUAAAUAUGUUACUCUGCAAUGCUAUUGUAAAUAUUUUUCUUAAAUUUGUCGAUAGAUUUAUAGGUUUGGCACAAAAUUAAGAAUACACAAAGGCAGGUUGAAUUAUUCCAUGUUUGAACAUCUGCAACAUAAAUGCAUAUGGCAAAAGGGCUCAAACCAUACCUUAUGUUCAUGAAUUCUCAUCAUCACGUGUUUAUAAAUGCAACUCAAACUUCAAUAAUUGAAUCUUUUGUAAUUCUACAUGUAUUUUUUUAUUAUGGCGAGCAGUAUAAUGUUUACUAAAAAUUGAAAUUCAAGAAAGAAGACAUAUAUAGUUGCACCAUACAAGAUGUUACACUCGAACUAAACGCUUACAAAUAGUACGAAAUGCAAUUGAAUACAGAGGAAUUGGUACAAUCAUAAAAACAGACACAUACCAAUGCAACUUUUCACCAUAGGAAAAACUUUCUGACAGACUACUAAACAAGAAAUUAUGAAGACACAGUAGAAAUGCUUUAACUUCAUUUGCACCAACUAGAUCAUUCUUCAUCCACUCAUGCGAUUGCUAUAUUUUGGCUUUCUUCUUCGCCUCUUCUCAUGUUGGUCUUCAACCAAAUUCACGAACCUUUUCACCUUAUCGGUUUGGAAAACAACACAUCCCAUGGCCAUUCCAAACACUACCCCGGAUCCAUAACCUAUCAACACCACUUUCCAACCAAAAGCAAUGUUUGCUUUUGAGCCAUCCUUUUCCAGCACAUUUGGAGGUGGUGUCUCAUUGAUGCUGCAACCUUUGGAGACUGGAAAUCCACAUAGUCUCUGUUUCCUUCGUAUGAAUUGUUUCCAAAUGUAUUGAACUGUUUGCCUUGAGGAAUCUGACCAUGGAGUUGAUUUUCGGAAACGUUUAAUAAGGAAAGAAAUGCCGGAUCUGCCAAUAUCUCUGGAAUUAACUCAGUUCAAAAGACUAUAUAACUCGUAAAGUUUGGUCGAAGACUAGCAGGGGUCAAGAAAAAUAAUUACUUGAAUUGUCAAAAUUUUGGAUUUUAGAGAAACAAGCACUAGACUUGGAGCUAUGGUCAUGCAAGGAACCAUGCAUUUCAUUUGACUUUAGUACAAGAACUUGUAGCCGUGGAAGACUUCCCUACCAAUGAGGAAAUGUAUCAUUGAUCUUGUUGUUCCUAAGAUCUAGCACUUCCAAAGACCUAAAAUUGAGGAUGGAUGGUGACAAAUGCCAUUCAAAUUGAUUUCCAUUUAAGUUGAGAUUACUCAAUUGGCAUCCCUUUGCAAAUGUUGGAGGAAUCAAUCCAUAAAACUUGUUCUUCUUUAGAUUCAAAAAUUCCAGGUUGUUGCUCAAAUUUCCAAAACAUUGUAGAAUAGUUCCACUCAAUUUAUUGUGGGACAAGUCAAGAAUUUGGAGAGCACUCACAUUGCCUAUCAAAGAAGAGACCUCUCCACUUAAACUAUUGUUUGAAGUAAAAAACACGUUGAUUGUCGAAGAUGGGAUUGGAAGAUUUCCAUGGAUCAAAUUGGAGCUUAAGUCAAGAAUAUUAAUAUUCUUCCAUGGAAGUUGCUCAACUUCUGUCAAUGAAUUGUGAGAUAAAUUUAAGUAACUCAAAGAGUCACACGUCACUUCUUGCAGCCAUUGUGGAAUCUUCCCUUCAAUUCUAUUGUUAGAAAGCUCCAAAGUUUUCAACUUUUUUAACCCUUUCAAAAAUCGGGGGAAUUGGCUGACAUUAUUUGAGCUUAAGGAUAGGCUGUUUAGUGAAAGGUCAAGAUAUUCGAGAUUUGGGAGAUUUGAGAACAUGCCAAACUCUAUGACACCACUGAAAUUAUUUGAGUAUAAAAGGAGCCAGGUAAGGUUGAGAAAUUGGAAUAUUGAAGAUGGAAGAGGACCUUGGAGAUUAUUAUUCCCUAACACUAUCAUUCUAGUGAUUUGGAUUGGAAUUCUUUGAUGUGUCCACUGAAUUGAUUCUGAGAGAGAGAUAUUUCCAUUAAGGAGAAAGCAUUAUACAACCAUGACAGAAGUUUUCCAUUGGGUAAAUUGUUAGAUAAGUCUAAAGAUAUUAGAUUAGGGAAAGCAGCUACCUCAUCUGGAAUGGGACCUUCUAAAGAAUUUUCAGCUAUUCUCAAGUGUUCAAGCUGUGUUAGGUUUACAAUUGACAAUGGAACUUGUUCACUCAAUUGGUUCCAUGACAAGUCUAAAUAUAUGAGCCACAAGAGGUUCCCCAGAGAUCUCGAAAUUGAUCCCUGUAAAUUGGAAUUAGAGAGAGACAAAUAUUUCAAGACGUGCAGGUUGUCAAUCAAAUCAAUCAAUUUUGAAAAGGAGGACAUCCAUGACAGAUCCAAAUGUUCAAGAUUACUGCUCUGAUUGAACUUCAGAAGAUCAAGAAUCAGGUUUCGGUUGUAUCCUAAGUUGAGCAAAUUGAGGUUUGGCGAAUGAAGAACGUUUCUUGAGAAUUUUCCUUGCAAAUCACAACCACCAAGACUGAGAGACUUUAUAGAAGAGGAUAGAUUGAUGAAAACAUUAGGAUUAAUAGAAGGCAUGAUAAUUCUAUCAAGAAAAAGAUGUCUCACCUCAGUUAGGUUGUGAACAAGUCCCUUCAAAGAAUUUUAUCAAGUGUUAAUUGGUCAGAAAAAACAUUAUGAGAGAGAUCAAGUGAAACCAAUUUUGACGAGUGGGAGAUUUGGGAUGGGACUUUUCCUGCAAAUAACGUUUCUGAGAUGUUAAGAUACACCAGGCUUGUAAACCGGCCGAACUCGGAUGGAAUUUUGGAAAGAUUAAAAUCAUUGUAGGCAAGGUUGAAUUUUUGAAGGUGAGGAAGAAGGAAGAGAGUGGUAUUGGAAGGGAAGUUGCCAUAUAGACAACUGCAGCUCAAGUCAAGGGCAAUAUAUAACUUGAGCAUUUAGGUGGUCACAAGUGACCCCAUCCCAUGAGCAGCAAUCUGUACCCUCAUUCCAUGAAUUUGUCCUGGGAUAAGAUUUAUGGCCAUCAAUCUCAUUGCUAUAAGAAGAAGCAUACUCUGUUAUGGAAAAAGAGUCCUUAAACUGGAUUAGUGAAGAGCAGGAGUGAGAUCCUGAAGAAGAAAAAGAAGCAUAAAGAUGGGGAAAGGUUAAGGUAGAAUAGGCUUGUAAACCGACCGAACUCGGAUGAAAUUUUGGAAAGAUUAAAAUCAUUGAAGGCAAGGUUGAGUUUUUGAAGGUGAGGAAGAAGGAAGAGAGUGGUAUUGGAAGGGAAGUUGCCAUAUAGCCAACUGCAGCUCAAGUCAAGGGCAAUAACUUGAGCAUUAAGGUGAUGACAAGUGACCCCACACCAUGAGCAGCAAUCUGUACCCUCCUUCCAUGAAUUUGUCUUGGGAUAAGAUUUAAGGCCGGCAAAAUCAUCGCAACACAAAGCAGCAUGGCCUGUCUGAGUGAUCGAAAAUGAAUUCUUGAACUGGAUUAGAGAAGCAGCUUCGUGGUGAGAGCAGGAGUGAGAUCCUGAAGAAGAAGAAGCAUAAAGAUGGGGAAAGAAGAGGAAUAGGCAGAGAGAGAGAUAGGGGCCAUGUUAUGUUUGUAGAGGAAGAUGAAGGAUAGGAAUGGUAUUUAUAGGCAACAAAUAGAAUCCAAUAUUAAACAAAAGAUUUGAUGAUUAAUACCACAACACCACUGUUACAGUGUUGUUUCUUUUAUGGUAUAAAGAUUGUUAUUGGAAGAGUUUGAAAUGCUGACAUUGAAAACCUAUAUUUUUCAAUACUCAUCAACAACCACUUCCUUUUUACCAUAUCUUUUUCAUUCCCAAAAUUGGAUACAUUGUUUUACCAAAAUUUUGUAUUUCAUUUGAACUCCCUAAACAACUGAGAAAAUUAACAUUGAUGAGAUUACAAAGUAGAUUGACUUAGUCUUCUUCCUUAUAAUAGGUAAAAAAAAAAUGUGAGUGUCUAUUCACUUAUAAUAUUUCCAUGCUAGAGGUAGUUUUUGGAAAAUCUUUAAUUAAAUCUUAAUUUCAUUUUGUUAAAAUUUUAAACUGGGUUAUCGAAUUGGCUUCUGAUUGUAGGUUGAUCAAUGAUGGGCCGAUUUCUUCUUCUUCUUUUUUAAUUUUUUUAGGGUUAAUUUAUAAUAUACUGCUUAAUGUUGUUGAUUUAUUUUUCUGGUCAUCGUUUCAUCCGUUUGUUGAAGAUAACUGAAUUUUUAUUGGUUGUAAUUGGACUUGGGUUUUAGCCAAUGACUAUAAUCAAAGGGUUAAUUUAAGGUUCCAAUGAAUUGUUUGAAAAUUUUAUUAUUUUUCUUUUCAAUUAGUUGUUUUACAAGGAUUUAACUUAUAUUAGUCAAAUGAACUGGCUUUAAAAAAUGAACAAGAACGAAGAAAUUGGAUGGUUAACUGGACACUGGAAAGGGGGAAUGCUAAAAGUUGUAAAUGUUUUGAAUAUAGAGUUGUAUUCUUUUCAUGGCUUCAGAAAAAUGUAUGCAAUGUUUGGCCAGCGAUAAUGGACAAGUUUUUUUAAACCUCCAUGCCUUAGUCAUGCUUUCAUAAACAUGGGCAGCUAACACCGAGAAGUCUCAUUGAAUGUAGUAAGCGAUUUAAAAGUGAAGCUCAUAUGCGACCGGGGAUGGUUGAUUUGAGGUUUAAUUCUAGCUAGUAGAUUCUGUUGUUUGUUAAGCGUCUUUUUGGAGACAAAUGUCUGAGAUUGCUGGAAAAUGCUUCUUACCAUCAUAUUAAUGUGUAUUUGGGUUGCGUUUUCUUAGAGUUUUGGAUUCUUUGCAUCAUAUCAUAAAAUUGAGUUAGAUAUAACAUCUCAUUGUUAUCUGUUAAUUGUUUCACUUGGGACCAGGAGCAUGCUGGCAACUCAAUACAGCUGUAAAUGCAUAUUUCAGUGAGGGUGAUAGGUAUAUAUUUAUGAAUUAUCCUAAUAUUUUUUAUGAUAAGUAAUUCUAGGUUUAUAGCUUUAUUUGUUUGUUUGUUUUCUCGUGUUUCCUACAAAAAAAGGCCAACAUCAACCAUAGUUCCUGUAGAUGAUGCCAUGGAUAUAGAUGAUCCAAAUGAAGUAGUACCAAAUGGGCCAGUCCUUCCAUUUCUACCAUCAUCUAGAACAAACGAACAAUCGUCUCUUUUUCUGAAAUUUCCGGCGCGACGCCUGUGCGGGGGGCCUUGGCCGGAAUCUGGACUUAGUCCAGAGAGUUUUUUUUUCUUUCUUCUGUUUUUUUUUUUCAAUGUUCAAAUGAUUUUUUUUCUCAAAACACUAAUUUUUAUGCCCAGUGAAACGGCGCCGUUUUGGCUAAGCUCCAAAACACCCAAAACGACGUCGUUUCACUCGCCACCAACUUGAAUUUUAUAACUACUCCUAUGCCAACCAGCAAACCAUAACAGCGUACAUAAAAAAGAGGAUGCUGACUUACAAUUCCUUUCAUUUCACCAUAACCAAUCAAAUCCCUUGCAAUGCUGUUUGGAUCACAGCAGCUCAUCUUUCAAUCCUAGAUGGCUCCGCUAAUUUUUUGAAAGCAUACAUAAACUGUUAAAGAAAUAAAUGGAUAAAACAACUACAGGAUAGAAGGCUGAAAAAUUACAAAGUGCAAUGACCUUAUUGUUAAAAUUUCAACGCCCAUUCCUUGGAAAGAUAUCUUCACCAUUGCCCACUCAAGAGAACUCAAAUAGCAGCAAGAUCUAGUAUAAAAUGUAACUCUCAACAACACACACAAAUGUUUGUUCUAUCAAGGAGCAAUACACAGACAUAUUCACCUACCCUUGGUUCUAGCUUUGCAUAUUACAUAACACUCUUCAAAUGUCUUAUUAAAUUCUCACUUUUACGAGUGCUAUGAUAAUCAAAUAAAAUUCAAUUCAAUUUUAAGUUCCAUAUAACACUUACAUGGCUACAAAAUGUGUGUGUGUUUAAGUGUCGACAACCACAAACAAUCCAAAUUUGCAGAGAAACCACCCAUUAUAUAUAGGUUUGCCAAUGAGAUGGCAAGCAGAUUGCUAGCUAGAAAUUCAUGCAUCUUUGAAUCACCAGUUCAAUUAAUAAGCUUAAGUAGAGGAAAUAGGGACUUUACAUCCACCAAUUAAAGCAACCUAUAUGUACCCUUUUACAGUCUGCAUUGUUCCAUGUUUCAAUUCAUUACAUCAUUCCUUCAACUCUGCUAUAUAUUAUUACCGUCUCCAGAUAACCAAACCUUUUACUGCUAACUUGUAAAAAAAUUAUGAAAAUACAACAGAGAUCAUUGAGACAUUGUUGAAGUUGGCUUGCAUGCAGAGCAAGAAGCAGACCAAGCUGUCCGAGCCAUGCAAGUUGCAGCUGAAGCUUAUGCUGCUGUUUUGUUACUUUCAAAUAGAUAUUUUAUUACUUAGUUAGAUAUGAACUAAGUUGUUGAUAUGCUUGAUGUGAUUAGGUGCUGAUAGAUUGAUAAAUCAGCUUUACCAAGUGUACAAGCAAUGUUUAUCAAGUUACUAAGCCACUUAGUGGAGUUAGGCACGUGUUUAGGUAACAUUUUCUUAUUUUUGACCAGCUGAUUGCUCGGUAUAUGUAAUGGAAUUGUGCCUUCAUUUGGUCUUUACUUAAGCAUUUUUAUUCAAAAAGCUCUUGCUGUUUUUGUUUUGUUUGUUGUGCAAGAUAUCAAUGCUUUAUGCUUAAGUUUCUGUCAAAAUUUCUCAUUCUGUUUUCUUAGUUCCUACAGACAUUUUGUUCUCCUUUCUCCUUUACUGAGCAGUAGCAAAGAUUAUUGAGACUAAAUUGAAAUCCAUGAAAGAAGACAUAAACAACACCACCAUACAAAAUGUCACACUCAAACAAACCAUUACAGAUAGUACGAAAUGCAAUGAAAGACAGAGGAAUUGGUACAAUAAUAAAGACAGCCAGAUACCAAUGCAACCCUUCACCAUAGGCACAACGGUCUACAAACAAGAAAUUAUGAAAAAUACAACACUAAUUCUUGAACAUCAUUUGCAGUAAUUAGAUCCUUCUUCGUCUACUGCUGCGAUUGCCUUUCUUUGACUUUCUUCUUCGCCUCUUCUCAUGUUGGUUUUCAACCAAAUUCACCAACCAUUUUGGCUUUCCAGUUUGGAAAACAACAUAUCCCACGGACAUUCCGAACACUACUCCGCAUCCACAACCUAUCAUCACCACUUUCCAACCAAAAGCAAUGUUUGAUUUUGAGCCAUCUUUUUCAAGCACAUUUGGAGGUGGUGGGUCAAUGAUGUUGCAACCUUUCGAGACCGGAAACCCACACAGUCCCUUAUUUCCUUCAUAUGAAUCAUUUCCAAAUGUGUUGAAUUGUUUGCCUUGGGGAAUCUUACCAUGGAGUUGAUUUUCAGAAACAUUUAAGGACGAAAGAAACGGCAGAUCUGCCAAUCUAUUUGGAAUCGCCCCAGACAACCUGUUUGAAGAUAGGUCCAACCAUUCAAGACUUGUCAAAUUCCCUAUUGAUGUGGGGAUACCACCAUUAAGGUUAUUAUGAGAAAGGUUGAGCCCUUUCAGUAAGUUAAGCUUCCCAAUAACCUUUGGAAUACCCCCUUCAAACUGAUUGUUUGAUAGAUCAAUGAUCAUCCACAUGGUGAAAAUUUUCACCAAUUCCCUAUCUUGUCCUUUCAUAACAAUUCCAAUGGAAUAGGUAUAGAAGUCACCUCCAUCAUCAUUCACCCCCAUGUACGACACUGUACUACCAAUCUUCUCUAGAUUUAUGAUAGCCUUGAAGCUGUUGAUGUAUCUCACUGGUAGGGGUCCAGAAAAAUAAUUACUUGAGAGAUCAAAAAUUUGGAUUUUAGAGAAAAAAGGGAUAGACUUGGAGCUAUUGACACAUAAGGAACCAUGCAAUUGAUUUGACUUCAAUACAAGAACUUGUAGCCGUGGAAGACUUCCCAACCAAUGAGGAAAUGUAUCAUUGAUCUUGUUGUUACCAAGAUCUAGCACUUCCAGACCAUUACAAUUAAGGAUGGAUGGUGUCAAAGGCCCUUCUAACAGAUUUCCAUUUAAGUUGAAAUUACUCAAUUGGCAUCCCAUUGCAAAUGUUGGAGGAAUCGUCCCAUAGAACUUGUUCUUCUUCAGAUUCAAGAAUAGAAGGCUGUUGCUCAAAUUUCCAAAACAUUGUGGAAUUGUUCCACUCAAGUUAUUGUGGGACAAAUCAAGAAUUUCAAGAAAAGCGGCAUUGCAUAUUAAAGAAGAGACCUCUCCAUUGAAACUAUUAUUAGAGAUCAAAAAGACAUUGAUGGUCGAAGCUGGAAUCGGAAGAUUUCCACUGAUCAAAUUGGAGCUUAAGUCAAGAACGUCAAUAUUCUUCCAUGGAAAGUGCUCAACUUCUGUCAAAGAGUUGUGAGAUACGUUUAAGUAAGUCAAAGAGUCAUUCCCCACCUCUUGCAUCCACUGUGGAAUCUUGCCUUCAAUUUUGUUGUAAGAGAGGUCUAAGCUUUCCAAACUUUUAAGCCCUUUUAAAAAUUGGGGGAAUUCACUAAGAUUGCAAGAUGACAAAAACAACCUUGUAAGAUUAACAGUAGAAGUAGUAUUAGAUGUUAAGGAUAGGCUGUUAUAUGAAAGGUCAAGAGAUUCGAGAUUUGGAAGGUUUGAGAACAUGCGAAACUCUAUGACACCACUAAGAUAAUUUGAGGAUAAGCUAAGUUGGGUAAGAUUGAGAAGUUGGAAUAUUGAAGAUGGAAGAGGACCUUGGAGUUUAUUAUUCUCUAACGCUAUCCAUUCUAGUGAUUUGGAUUGGAAUUCUUUGAUAUGCCCACUGAAUUGAUUUUGAGAGAGUUUUAUAUCCUUUAAGGAGGGAGCAGUAUACAACCAUGAUGGAAGUUGUCCACUGAGUAAAUUGUUAGUUAAGUCUAAAGAUAUUAGAUUAGGAAAAGCGGUUACCUCAUCUGGAAUAGAACCUUUUAAUGUAUUUCCAGCUAUUCUCAAGUAUUCCAGCUGCGUUAGGUUUAGAAUUGACAAUGGAAUUUGUCCAUUCAAUUGGUUCUGCCACAAGCCUAAAUAAGUGAGUUGCAAGAGGUUCCCCAAUGAUCUUGGAAUUUGUCCACUCAAUUGGUUUUGCCACAAGCCUAAAUAAGUGAGUUGCAAGAGGUUCCCCAAUGAUCUUGGAAUUUGUCCACUCAACUGGUUCCCCGAUAAGUCUAAAUGAGUGAGUUGCAAGAGAUUCCCCAGUGAUUUUGGAACCGGUCCUGAUAAGUUGGAAUAGGAGAGAUCUAAAAACUUCAAGGACACAAGAUUACCCACCGAGUCUGGCAAUCCUCCAAAAAAAUUUGCGCCUGAAAUUAUCAAUUGCUCCAAAGAUGAUAAAUUUGUGAUUGAGACAGACAAUCCUUGAAAGAAAAAAUUUCCUGAUAGACCUAAGGACUUUAAGGCCUGUAGAUUAUCAACUGAAUCAAUGAAUUCUGUAGAGAAGGACGUCCAUGACAGAUCCAAAUGUUCAAGAUUGCUGCUCCGAUUCAACUUCAAAGGAUCAAGAUUGAGGUUUUGGUUGUUUCCCAAGUUGAGGAGAUUGAGGUUUGGCAAAUCAAAAAUGUUGUUUGGGAAUUUUCCUUGCAAAUCACAACCAGCAAGACUGAGAGACCUUAGAGAAGAGGAUAGAUUCAUGAAGACAUGAGCAUUAACAGAAGCCAUCUCCAUUCCAUCCAAAAACAGAUGUCUGACCUCGGUUAGGUUUUGAACAAGUCCCUCCAGAGCAUGUUUGUCUCCUACAAACCCUGUACUGGAAAGGUCGAGGUAGAGUAGGCUUGUAAACCGACCUAACUCGGAUGGAAUUUCGGAAAGAUUAAACUCAUUGUAGGCAAGGUUGAGUUUUUGAAGGUGAGGAAGAAGGAAGAGAGUGGAAUUGGAAGGGAAGUUGCCAUAUAGCCAACUGCAGCUCAAGUCAAGGGCAAUAACAUGAGCAUUUAGGUGGUCACAAGUGACCCCAUCCCAUGAGCAGCAAUCUGUACCCUCCUUCCAUGAAUUUGUCUUGGGAUAAGAUUUAUGGCCAGCAAUCUCAUUGCAAUAAGAAGAAGCGUCCUCUGUUAUGGAAAAAGAGUCCUUAAACUGGAUUAGUGAAGAGCAGGAGUGAGAUCCAGAAGAAGAAAAAGAAGCAUAAAGAUGGGGAAAGAAGAGGAAUAGGCAGAGGAAGAGAUAGGGGGCCAUGUUAUGUCUGUAGAGGAAGAUGAAGGAUAGGAAUGGUAUUUAUAGGCAACAAAUAAUACCGCAGUGUUACAGUCUUUUUUUCUUUUACAUUGAGAAGCUAUGGAGAUUAGAUUUUCAAAAUUUUUGUAUUUUUAACAAUCAUCAACAGUCACUUAGUCUUCUUUUUACCAUAUAUUUUUCAUUCUUAAAAUUGGAUGCUAUCUUUUCGCAAAAUCUUGUGGAAAUUCUUUAGCCUUCUUCUCUAUAACACUUAAAGAAUGUGUGUAUGUAUUCAUUUGCCUGUCAACUAAAGCUAAUUAAUGUGGAAAUUCUUUUCCACCCAAAAGAACAAAAUUGUGCUCUAUUCAUUAAGUUUGAGGAAGAAGAUUGCUGGAAAUUUAAUCUACCGAUUCCAUAAAAAACGUGUAUACUUAUAUAACCUCAUAAUUCAAAUCUAAAAUCUCAUUUGUUAUAAAUUCUGAUAAAUUUCUUUGGAAUUGCUAUUUUUCAUUUGUUAAUUAUUUCUCUUUUAAUCGAGUAAAAAAUUAAAACUAAAAAGACAUAAUGAUUUAUUUGGCAUUUUUAAACUUUACAAAUAAAAAAUCAUUUUAGCUUUUCAUUUUUUUAUCUCUAUUAAAUCACCCAAAAAAAAUAAUGAAAAAGACUAACAAAACUAGCACCUACGUGGCUGAUGUUGACCCUUAGUAGUUAAUGACAACAUCUACGUAGUUGUUAACAGAUACCACACUAACACUGUUUGUUGACGUGACAAUGCCACAUGAUCAAUAAUCACCGACAUGGUAGCGCCACGCUAUCGCCCAUUGGUGACAUAUUGAUGUUUGAGUUAAACUCAAAUUACUAUUUCCUUUGUUAUAAAUUAAGAGUAUAACUAAUUUUGAUAAGAAUGAUUACUUUUCAUUAACUCAGUCUAAAGGACUAUAACACGUAAAGUUUGGCCUAUUGCAGAAUUCACAUGCAAUGCGGGGCAUUUACAUUAUGCAGAAUUCGGCACAUAUAUGGGAAUUUUUGUAUUUCCACAAUCAUCAUGUUGUUCGUGAUCAACAACUACUUCCUUUUUACCAUAUAUUUUUCAUUCAUAAAAUUGAUUACUUUUUUUUUUACGAAAGAAGUAAAAUUAUUAACAUUCAUGAUAUUACAAAGCCUUCUUCCUUAUAACACGUCAAGUUUGGCCCCAAAUAAUUUUCCAGACAAAAGAAUUAAGAGGAAGGAGACUGCUACAGAUUGACUAUACUUUUAACUCCACAAACAAAGACUAAGACUAUCAAUUGUCUAUUGACUACACUUUAACUCGACAAAAACAGAUUGACUAUACUUUUAACUCCACAAACAAAGACUAAGACUAUCAAUUGUCUAUUGACUUCACUUUAACUCGACAAAAACAGACUAAUAAGACUUUGGUUGGCUGUAAUGGGCUAUUGACUAUACUUUAACUCCGCAAAAAAAGACUAAGGCUAUCAAUUGUCUAUUGACUUCACACUUGCUGUUGCUUCCUCCUAUCUCUAUCACUUGCUUCCUCCUAUCUCUAUCACCCAAACUUAAUUUACAAGCAAUGUGGAAAUUUUGGACAUUUGGGCCACAAUGUACAAUACUUCCACACCAUUUGCAGUAUUGACUACGUUUACUUGAGGGCAAACAAAGACAUGAAUGCUGGAAAUUUUAACUAGUUUGUACCGUCAAUGAAGCUACGUACCUAAAAGCAAUGUAUUAUCACCGUCUCCAGAAAUUUUGCUAAUUCAAUUUCCCAAGAAAUAUGAUUAAUUUUGGUUAAAUUGGAGUGAACAUUACUAUUUCUGUUUUAGCAAUUAAAGCAACCUAUAUGUACCCUUUUACAGUCUGCAUUGUUCCAUGUUUCCAUUCAUUACAUCAUUCCUUCAACUCUGCUAUAUAUUAUCACCGUCUCCAGAGAACCAAACCUUUUACUGCUAACUUGUAAAAAAAUUAUGAAAAUACAACAGAGAUUAUUGAGACAUUGUUGAAGUUGGCUUGCAUGCAGUAGACAUUGUUAAUCUUAUUAUUAUUAUUAUUAUUAUUAACUCAUGAACCCAUGGUUACACUUCCAACAGAGGUGAGAGAGGUUAAGAGUAGCCAUGAGCCAUCUAGUCAUGCUCCUGUUGUUGAGGAUGCCUCUGAAACUGCACAAGCUCUCAGCCCGAAUUCAAAUCUAAAAUCUCAUUUGUUAUAAAUUCUGAUAAAUUUAUUUGGGAAUUGCUAUUUUUCAUUCGUUAAUUAUUUCUCUUUUAAUCGAGUAAAAAAUUAAAACUAAAAAGACAUGAUAAUUUACUUGGCAUUUUUUAACUUUACAAACAAAUAGUCAUUUUAGCUUUCCAUUUUUUUUUUCUCUUUUAGCCUUGAAACUUAUAUGGUUCCUUAAAUCACUCCAAAAAAAAUGAUGAAAAAGACUAACAAAUUCUAGCACCUACGUGGCUGAUGUUGACCCUAGUAGUUAAUGGCAACACCUACGUAGUGGUUAACAGAUACCACACCAACACUGUUUGUUGACGUGACAAUGCCAAAUGGUCAAUAAUCGCUGACAUGGUAGCGCCACGCCAUCGCCCAUUGAUGACAUGUUAACCUUUGAGUUAAACUCAAAUUACUCUUUCCUUUGUUAUAAAUUAAGAGUAUAAAUAAUUCUGAUAAGAAUAGUUACUUUUCAUUAACUCAGUUUAAAGGACUAUAACACGUAAAGUUUGGUCUAUUGCAGAAUUCACAUGCCAUGCGGGACGUUUACAUUAUGCAGAAUUCAACACAUAUAUGGGAAUUUUUGUAUUUCCACAAUCAUCAAAUAAUUUUCAUAAAUUGAUUACUUUCUUUUUACCAUAUAAUUUUCAUUCAUAAAUUGAUUACUUUUUUUUUACAAAAGAAGUAAAAUAAUUAAUAUUCGUGAGAUUACAAAGUCUUCUUCCUUAUACACGUCAAGUUUGGUCUCAAAUAAUUUUCCACACAAAAGAAUACUUUUAACAAUCAAUUGUCUAUUGACUAUACUUUGAACUCCACAAAAAAGACUAAGACCUUCAAUUGUCUAUUGACUACACUUUAACUCGACAAAAAAAGACUAAGACUAUCAAUUGUCUAUUGACUAUCAAUUGGUUCCAUGACAAGUCUAAAUAUAUGAGCCACAAGAGGUUCCCCAAUGAUCUCGAAAUUGAUCCCCGUAAAUUGGAAUUAGAGAGAGACAAAUAUUUCAAGACAUGCAGGUUGUCAAUCAAAUCAAUCAAUUUCGUAAAGGAGGACAUCCAUGACAGAUCCAAAUGUUCAAAAUUACUGCUCUGAUUGAACUUCAGAAGAUCAAGACUAAGGAUUCGGUUGUAUCCUAAGUUGAGCAAAUUGAGGUUUGGCGAAUGAAGAAUGUUUCUUGAGAACUUUCCUUGCAAAUCACAACCACCAAGACUGAGAGACUUUAUAGAAGAGGAUAGAUUCAUGAAAACAUUAGGAUUAAUAGAAGGCAUGAUAAUUCUAACAAGAAAAAGAUGUGUCACCUCAGUUAGGUUGUGAACAAGUCCCUCCAAAGAAUUUUAUCAAGAGUUAAUUGGUGAGAAAAAACAUUAUGAGAGAGAUCAAGUGAAACCAAAUUUGACGAGUGGGAGAUUUGGGAUGGGACUUUUCCUGUAAAUAACGUUUUUUAGAUGUUAAGAUACACCAGCCUUGUAAACCGACCGAACUAGGAUGGAAUUUUGGAAAGAUUAAAAUCAUUGUAGGCAAGGUUGAGUUUUUGAAGGUGAGGAAGGAGGAAGAGAGUGGUAUUGGAAGGGAAGUUGCCAUAUAGCCAACUGCAGCUCAAGUCAAGGGCAAUAACAUGAGCAUUAAGGUGAUGACAAGUGACCCCAUACCAUGAGCAGCAAUCUGUACCCUCCUUCCAUGAAUUUGUCUUGGGAUAAGAUUUAAGGCCGUCAAAAUCAUCGCAAUACAAAGCAGCAUGGUCUGUCUGAGUGAUCGAAAAUGAAUUCUUGAACUGGAUUAGAGAAGCAGCUUCGUGGUGAGAGCAGGAGUGAGAUCCUGAAGAAGAAGAAGCAUAAAGAUGGGGAAAGAAGAGGAAUAGGCAGAGAGAGAGAUAGGGGCCAUGUUAUGUUUGUAGAGGAAGAUGAAGGAUAGGAAUGGUAUUUAUAGGCAACAAAUAGAAUCCAAUAUUAAACAAAAGCUUUGAUGAUUAAUACCACAACACCACUGUUACAGUGUUGUUUCUUUUAUGGUAUAAAGAUUGUUAUUGGAAGAGUUUGAAAUGCUGACAUUGAAAACCUAUAUUUUUCAAUACUCAUCAACAACCACUUCCUUUUUACCAUAUCUUUUUCAUUCCCAAAAUUGGAUACAUUGUUUUACCAAAAUUUUGUAUUUCAUUUGAACUCCCUAAACAACUGAGAAAAUUAACAUUGAUGAGAUUACAAAAUAGAUUGACUUAGUCUUCUUCCUUAUAAUACGUAAAAAAAAAUGUGAGUGUCUAUUCACUUAUAAUAUUUCCAUGCUAGAGGUAGUUUUUGGAAAAUCUUUAAUUAAACCUUAAUUUCAUUUUGUUAAAAUUUUUAACUGGAUUAUCGAAUUGGCUUCUGAUUGUAGGUUGAUCAAUGAUGGGCUGAUUUCUUCUUCUUCUUUUUUAAUUUUUUUAGGGUUUAUAAUAUACUGCUUAAUGUUGUUGAUUUAUUUUUCUGAUCAUCGUUUCAUUCGUUUGUUGAAGAUAACUGAAUUUUUAUUGGUUGUAAUUGGACUUGGGUUUUAGCCAAUGACUAUAAUCAAAGGGUUAAUUUAAGGUUCGAAUGAAUUAUUUGAAAAUUUUAUUAUUUUUCUUUUCAAUUAGUUGUUUUACAAGGAUUUAACUUAUAUUAGUCAAAUGAACUGGGUUUAAAAAAUGAACAAGAACGAAGAAAUUGGAUGGUUGACUGGACACUGGAAAGGGGAAAAGCUAAAAGUUGUAAAUGUUUUGAAUAUAGAGUUGUAUUCUUUUCAUGGCUUCAGAAAAAUGUAUGCAAUGUUUGGCCAGCGAUAAUGGACAAGUUUUUUUAAACCUCCAUGCCUAAGUCAUGCUUUCAUAAACAUGGGCAGCUAACACCGAGAAGUCAGUAAGCGAUUUAAAAGUGAAGCUCAUAUGCGUCAUUGCUACUCGCUUUGCAGCUAAACUCCUGAGUGACCGGGGAUGGUUGAUUUGAGGUUUAAUUCUAGCUAGUAGAUUCUUAGGUUUGUUAAGGGUCUUUUUGGAGACAAAUGUCUGAGAUUGCUGGAAAAUGCUUCUUACCAUCAUAUUAAUGUCUAUUCGGGUUGCGUUUUCUUAGAGUUUUGGAUUCUUUGCAUCUUAUCAUAAAAUUGAGUUAGAUAUAACAUGUCAUUGUUAUCUGUUAAUUGUUUCACUUGGGACCAGGAGCAUGGUGGCAACUCAAUACAGCUGUAAAUGCAUAUUUCAGCGAGGGUGAUAGGUAUAUAUUUAUGAAUUAUGCUAAUAUUUUGUUAUGAUAAGUAAUUCUAGGUUUAUAGCUUUAUUGGUUUGUUUGUUUUCUCAUGUUUCCUACAAAAAUAAGGCCAACAUCAACCAUAGUUUCUGUAGAUUAUGCCAUGGAUAUAAAUGAUCCAAAUGAAGUUGUACCAAAUGGGCCAGUCCCUUCCAUUUCUACCAUCAUCUAGAACAAACGAACAAUCGUCUCUUCAUCAUCGAAACUUCCAUAGCAGUUUCUUCGAUGGUGAUUCUGGUUCAACUUAUGAACCAAUUGAUACAUAUCCAACAGAGGUGAGAGGGGUUAAGUAUAGCCAUGAGCCAUCUAGUCAUGCUCCUGUUGUUGAGGAUGCCUCUGAAACUGCACAAGCUCUCGGCCCGAAUUCCCAUGAGACUGUUACAAUUGGUGAAGUAGGUGACGAUUCAAUUGCGCAGCCAAGGUGGCAGAAUGAUAACUGUAACAACCAGCAUGUUACACCCAGCGCUCCUGCCUUUGAUAAUUUGCUAGACUAUGGCGAUGACAUUGAAGAACAAAUGAUUCAAGCUGCCAUUGAGGCCUCUAAGCGGGAUGCUGAGGCAAGUUUUAAAAAAAGGACGCUUCCAAUUUGAUAGUGUUGUGGUGCCCUUCAUUCUUGUAGUUGCUGUAAAUGCUUGUUUUACAGAUUGCCUUUUUCAUGUUUAAAGUGUUAAAGUGUUGCAAAUUGAAGUGUUUUAAGUAAUGCAAAUUGAAUUGUUUAGUUGCUGGAAAUUGAGAUGUUUUAUGGCCGUAAUUGAGUGUAUAAAUGUUGUAAAUUGAAGUGUUUUAUUGCUGGAAAUUGGAUGCAUGGUAUAAUGACAUGAUAGAAUGUCAUUACAAUGUUGUAACUUUUUGAUGUUGUAAAAUCAUAUGGAUUAUGACAUCUAAACUAAUGAAAUCGUGUAACUUUUUAUUAAUAUAUGAAUAUUAUGUUGGGAUGUGAAAUAUAAUUCUCAAGUUAUUUAUUACUUCUAAUAUCUAAUAUUUCAUUGUAGAAUAAUUAAAAUUAUUUGUUUCACUAAUGAUAUUUUAGCACAUUCAAUAUCUAUUGCAGUUUAAAAAUAAUAAUUUAGAUUAUAUAUUAUUUUUAUAGUAUUAUAUAUUAUGAUUUUAGUAAAUUCAUAUAAUAGUAAUUAUAUUAAGAAUUUUAUUAAAUUAUAUUUAAUAAUAAUUAUGUUAAAAUAUGGUUAAAUUAUUUAUUAUCUUUAUUAAAUUAUUUUUAAUAAUAAUCUUUUUAAAAUUUAAUAACAAUAACAAAAAUCAUCUACUUAAAAAAGAUUCUGCUAAGGGUAUUCUAGUCAUUUUAGUUUUUUCCUUAUGCAAUUACAACAUCAUUCCAUUCAACCAAACACAAGAAUACCAUUACAGUUCUAUUCCGUUCCAUUCAACCAAACAAUUGAAUUACUGAUUACAGCUCUAUUCCAUUACAGUGAACCAAAUAUAUCCUUAGUAUGAAUGGCUGUCGAGGCAUGUAGAAAUUUGCACACAAAAGAACAAAAUUGUGCACUACUUAAAACUUCAAAGCAUGUGUGGCCUUAAUUUAAUUUUUCAUCUUUUUUAGCCCUUAAACCUACAUUGUUUAUCAGAUGAAAAAAUUAAUAUCUAUUAACUUUGCUAAUGUGCAAGCAUAUGCAACUUCUUUUAAAUCUAAAAAAUAUAAAAAUAAUUAAAUAUGUAUAAAUCUAAAGAUAUCUUAAACUUAAAACUAAAAUUUUUUAAACUAAUGCAAAUUUUUAUUAUUUAAAAAAUCUUAAAAUUUUCAAAUUAAAUUCCAUUUGUUUUCCACCGUUGAAGAACACCUUUAAUCACAACUUCAUGCUGUAUUGCCUAGAAAUUGUUUUGCAAAUUUAUUUUGUUUUAUUUAUUUCUAAACCCAUAUUUCUUUUCUAUAACUCCAAUUAUUAGAUUGUUUAGGGUUUUGAGUAACUUUCGAUUUUGGAAUUUUAGAUUUUUUAAAUUUAAAUAUGAAGUGCUCUUCUUCUUCUCCAAACCCACAAAUUUUUCUGCCAAAUUUCUACUCAAGGUUUUACUUUCAGCUAUAAAUAAAGCGUAUAUUAUAUUUAUAAUGAUCUAAGAAUAGUAGAGUCGAUGCCGAUCUACAUGAAAAAGGAUGAAAAAAAAAGGCAAAGAAUGAUAAUAUGAAGAGAGCAUAAAUCAAUAAAGCAAAUGAAAAACGAGCAGGAUUAAAGUAAAUGGGUAUUUAAUAUUUUUUUGUGAAAGUUCAAAGACUGAUUAUUUAUAAAAUUGGAUGUGGAAAAAUUAGUUGGAAUUUUUUUUCUUACACCAAUUGAUUUUUUAUAUAAAAUUUUUAUUUAUUUUUAAGUGUUGAAACCACUUUUUGAAAACAAAAAAAAAGUGUUACUUUUAUUUUGAAAACGGAAACGAAAAAAUGGGAGUCGCCACCGAUAUUUUUUUUGAGGUGUGAUCGGAUCACCUUAAAACAAUUUUGGUCUACGAAUAAAAAAAUGGGUCCGGGAGUCAAUUACGUAGGAGGAAGGAUUAGCACCCUCAUAACGCCCAAAAUUGAUACCGAAUUGCAUAAUUAAUGUCUUAAAGUCGAAUGUCGAAAAUUCAAAAAGAUUAAAAAUGAUCCCCUUUAAUUAAUGACAUAUUUUUAAACAAUAUUUGUAUAAAUUUGAUCAUAUGUAGAAAGGUCUUCUCAUCCUGAGUCAACAAAAUGUCGUAUCCCAUAAGUUAGGAUGCGACAUUUAGAUUUCCGAGCAUAAUCUAGCCUUUAAAACCCUUUAUUGAAACUUUAUGUAUUUGAAAACUAAAAAUGUUUGACCAUCUUGGUUCAAUGAGGAAAUCGAAAACCCGUAAGUUAGGACAAAUUUCCUCAAAGUUCCAAAGACGAUAUAUACGUUUGCCUUUAUUUAAAAAAAAAAGAUACUCGGUUACUUAAAUUCAACGAGGAAAAUUGGAGCCUAAUAAGUUAGGGCACAAUCUUCUCGAAAAUAUUGGAUACCGGGUAUUACGUUAUUUUGAAAACUUUGAAUAAAAUGAUUUCAAUACUUUGACUAAACGCAACAUUUUAAAUGAAUAAAAUGCGAUGGAACAAUAACGUAUAACGCGAAGUGAUAAUUCGUAAACUAAAAUAUACGCUAAUGAUCGACAAAGAAUCAAUGAAUACGAGUAAGCAAUACAAUACAUCAUAUAAGAGCAACAAUCUCAUAUCCCACAUUAUGCAAAUACUAACAUCCAUUUUAGCAAGCUAAAUGAAUUAAAAGUUAAUUAAAGAACAGCAAGCAAAUUAAUGUAAAUCUAAUAUAACAAGCUUUAAAAUAAAAUAAAAAUAAAAAUCAUGAAAAAGAGGAAAAUUCAAACACUAAAUUGUAUGUAUAAAAUAUUUGGCACAAAUAAUAUAUAGGAAAACUUGCAAUAAAAAAAUGAAGAAAAUAAAGAAUAAAUAAGAUGCAAAAUAAUACAUGUUCAUCUAAAUAAGUAGUACAUAUAAAAUAAAAUUUUAAUAUAAAUGUUGAAAUAAACAAAGCGUGUAAUUGAACAUCAUUUCCACUAACUAGAUCCUUCUUCGUCAACUGCUGCGAUUGCCUUUCUUUGACUUUCUUUUUCGCCUCUUCUCAUGUUGGUUUUCAACCAAAUUCACCAACCAUUUCGGUUUUCCAGUUUGGAAAACAACAUAUCCCACCAACAUUCCGAACACUACUCCGCAUCCAUAACCUAUCAACACCACUUUCCAACCAAAAGUAAUGUUUGAUUUUGAGCCAUCUUUUUCAAGCACAUCUGGAGGUGUUGGCGCAAUGAUGUUGCAACCUUUCGAGACCGGAAACCCACAUAUGAAUCAUUUCCAAAUGUGUUGAAUUGUUUGCCUUGAGGAAUCUGACCAUGGAGUUGAUUUUCAGAAACAUUUAAGGACAAAAGAAAUGGCAGAUCUACCAAUCUAUUUGGAAUGGUUCCAGACAACCUGUUUGAAGAUAGUGUUGGCACAUAAUUAAAUUAACCUUGCACAAAUAAAUUAUGAAAAGUUAGAAGAGUGAAGAGACUUGAAUAUGAAAAGUGAAAAAACUUGAAUAUGAAUAGUGAAGAGACUUGAAGAUGAAAAGUUAAGAGGCUUGAAUAUGAAAAGAUACACACAUGCAUGAAUAGUCACAACUCCUAGCAUAUAGUGAUAUAGAUGAAUAGUCACUUACAACUCCUAUAUAAAGAGUUGUAUGUGAUGAAGAAUUAUUAACUUUGUGUGCUUGAAAUAAAAGAUUAUUUGAAAGAAUUUUUUCAUACAAAAUUUAUUUCUCUUCUCCAUUAUAUUCUUUAUCAUUUUCUUUGUUUUAUUUCUCCAAAUAUUAAUCAUUCAACUACAAAUUGGUAUCAAAGCCUUGUUCAAUCGAAAUGAACAAUUCUAUUCCUCUUUCUUCCGUUCCCCAAUUAACCAAAGAAAAUUAUGGCAAAUGGAGUAUCCAAAUGAAGGCUCUUCUUGGAUCUCUAGAAGUUUGGGAGAUUGUUGAAAAAGGUUAUAAUGAAGUUGAGGGUGAAGAGGAGGAAGGAUUAACACAAGUUCAAAAAGAGAGUCUAAGAAAAUCAAGGAAGAAAAAUCAGCAAGCCUUAUUUUGGAUAUAUCAAGGAGUUCAAUCAUAUGAAGCGGCUUGGGAAAAAAUAGCUUGUGCCACCACGGCAAAACAAGCAUGGGAAUUUUUACAAAAUUCAUUCAAAGGAGAUGAAAAGGUGAAAAGAGUUCGGUUGCAAACUCUUUGAGGAGAGUUUGAAAGAUUGCAAAAAAUAGAGUCAGAAUCAGUUUCUGAUUACUGUUCACGGGUUUUGUCCAUAGUCAAUCAAUUAAAAAGAAAUGGUGAAACUAUGGAUGAUAUUCGUGGUGUUGAGAAAAUCCUCCGUUCUUUAGAUUCCAAAUUUGACUACAUUGUGGUUGCCAUAGAAGAAUCAAAGGACUUGAGUACCAUGACUAUUGAUGAACUCACAGGUUCGUUGCAAGCCCAUGAAGAAAGAUUAAACAAGAAGAAAAAGGAAGUAGAUCUAGAUCAAGCACUUCAGUCAAAGUUGUCUCUAAAUGAGAAUAAGGGAGAUUUUAAAAAUCAAAGAGGGAGAGAUCGUGGUCGUGGAAGAGGAAGAAAUUUUAGAGGAAGAGGCUCAAAUGCUCGUGAAAGAGGUGAAGAUGUAAGCAUGGAGAAUGGAUGGAAAGAAGCCAACCAAAGUCAAAAUUUUAGAGGAUCACAAAGAGGACGUGGACGUAGAAAUCAAAGAGGAAGAGGUCGUGGCUAUUUUGAAUGUUAUAAUUGUCGCAAACCUGGUCAUUUGGCAAGUGAAUGCUGGUACAAAGAAGAAGAGAAAAAUGAAGCUAAUAUAGUACAAAAUAAUCAAGAGCAAAAGCAAGAAACUUUGUUGCUCGUAUCUCAUGGUGGAGAGAUUGAUGAUGUCUGGUACAUAGACAGUGGUGCUAGCAAGCAUAUGACAGGUAACAAAAAUUUAUUUUCGAAGUUCUUUGAAUCUGAUUGUGGAGAAGUAAAAGUAGGAGAUGGCAAAGCUUACAAAGUUAGCGGUGUUGGUGAGUUGGAGUUCAAAACAAAGCAAGGAAGGGUAGAGAAAAUGUCUGAAGUUUAUUUUGUUCCUGGUCUUAAAAAUAAUCUGCUUAGCGUUGGGCAUCUCUUGAAGAAGGGGUAUGAUAUUCAUUUCCGAGACAUGGCUUGCUAUUUAUCAAAGAAAAAUCAGGUUGUUGCUAGAGUUGGAGUGGCAUCAAAUAAUCUUUUCUCUCUUACCCUUCAAAAUCAGAAUAUGUCUUGUUUUAUUGGUGCUCAUAAAGGAAUUUCAAAGUUAUGGCAUGAUAGAUAUGGACAUUUAAACUAUGGAAAUUUGGAGAUGCUUUCAAGGAAGAUGAUGGUUAGAGGUUUACCAAAAAUCGAUCGGCUUGAUGAUGUUUGUGAAGCAUGUCAACUUGGAAAGCAACAUAAAAUUGCUUUUCCUUCUCAAUCCUCGUGGAAAGCAAGAAGACCAUUGCAACUUAUUCACUCAAAUCUUUGUGGUCCAAUGACAGUUUCAUCUUUAGGAGGUAAUCGUUACUUUAUCUCUUUCAUUGAUGAUUACUCAAGAAAGUUAUGGGUGUAUUGUGUCAAAGAAAAAUCAGAGGCUUUUCAGAGAUUCAAAGAUUUCAAGGCAGAAGUGGAGAACUUUACUGGGUUGAAAAUUAACACCUUGCGUACAGAUCGUGGAGGUGAAUAUUUUUCAAAAGAAUUUGAGAAAUAUUGCCGAGAUAGUGGCAUCCGGCAUGAAAUGACAGUCCGCCAUACACCUCAGCAAAAUGGUGUGUGUGAAAGAAAGAACAGAACAAUUAUGGAAAUGGCUAGAUGUCUUCUUAAUAAGAAGAGGUUAUCAAGAAGAUUUUGGGCUGAAGUUGUUUCCUGUGCAGUUUAUCUUAUAAACAGAUCACCGACAAGAAGCUUGGAGAAUUACACACCACAUGAGGCGUGGUAUGGUAUAAAGCCUAGUGUUAGUCAUCUUAGAGUAUUUGGGAGUGUUGCCUACUCUCUAUUCCAGAUGCAAUGAGAAGCAAGUUGGAUGACAAGUCAGAGAAAUGCAUUUUUAUUGGCUAUAGUGAAAGAAGUAAGGCAUACAAGUUGUAUAAUCCGGUGACAAAGAAGAUUGUGAUAAGCCGAGAUGUUCGGUUUGAUGAAAAUUCCAUGUUUGAAGAUAUGGAAGUUGAAAAGGAAAAUUUGCCAAUUUUUCCUUUUGAACUUGAAGAAGAAGAAGAGGCAGUAAUUGAGAAUGCUGAAGAUGAUGCUCAAGUAGAAAAUCCUCCUGCUUCCCCAUGUUCUUCAUCAAAUUCUUCUUCAUCCAGCCCGAUCCGAAAAACGAGAAGCAUCCAAGAGUUAUAUGAUGUAACGGAUGAAGUUGUGCAAAAUGAUGCUGUAUUCUUUGCCUUCUUUGCAGGAGAAGAUCCAAUUUCUUUUGAUGAUGCAUAUCAAGAAGAAAUAUGGAGGAAAGCCAUGAAAUAAGAGAUUUUCUCAAUUGAAAACAAUGAUACAUGGGAACUCACAGAUUUACCGCCGCACAAGAAUUCAAUUGGAGUCAAAUGGGUGUACAAGACAAAGAUGAAUCCGAAUGGCUCUAUCAACAAGUACAAGGCAAGACUGGUUGCAAAAGGAUACAAGCAAAAGGAAGGAGAAGAUUUUACAGAGGUAUUUGCUCCAGUUUCAAGACUUGAGACAGUUCGGUUACUUAUUUCUCUUGCUGCCCAAAAUAAUUGGAAAAUAUUCCAAAUGGACGUAAAAUCUGCGUUUUUGAAUGGUGUUCUCAAAGAAGAAGUCUAUGUUGAUCAACCACCAGGGUUUGUCAAAAAAGGAGAAGAAGAAAAAGUUUACAAGUUGAAGAAAGCUUUGUACGGGUUGAAGCAAUCACCCAGAGCAUGGUACAGCCGCAUCGAUUCUUAUUUUCAGAAGUGUGGAUUCCAGAAAUCUCCAUAUGAGCAUACUCUCUACAUCAAAGGCAAUUAUCAAGGAAGAUUCAUGGUUGUAAGUCUCUACGUUGAUGAUCUUAUUUUCACAGGAAAUGAUGUGAAGAUGUUGAAAGAAUUUCAGCACUCAAUGAUGGCAGAAUUUAAGAUGACAGAUUUGGGAGAACUUCAUCAUUUUCUUGGCAUUGAAGUUCAUCAAUCCGAGAAAGGAAUUUUUAUUUCACAAGAGAGCUACGCAAAGGAAGUUCUAAAAAAAUUCAUGAUGGAAAAUGCGAAUCCAGUCUCUACUCCAUGCAUUACAGGUCUGAAGUUAUCUAAAGAGGGUGAAGGAAAGCUUGUCAAUUCCACCAUAUUCAGAAGUUUGGUUGGGAAGUUGAUGUAUCUGACUUCGACAAGGCCUGAUAUCGUGUAUGUUGUUAGCUUGGUAAGUAGAUUCAUGGAGAAACCUUACUCCAAUCACUGGGAGGCUGCCAAGAGAAUAUUGAGAUAUGUGAAGGGAACCAUUGAUUAUGGAAUUUUCUAUAAAUCUAAUACAUUAGUUGAUCUCAUUGGUUAUACGGAUAGUGAUUUAGCAGGAAGCAUUGAUGAUAGCAGAAGCACUUCUGGUUAUGUUUUUCACCUUGGUAGUGGUGCAGUUUCAUGGAGUUCAAAGAAACAAUCAAUUGUGGCGCUUUCGACUAUAGAAGCUGAAUAUAUCGCUGCAUCUUAUGCAGGAUGUCAAUUGAUUUGGUUACGUGGAAUUUUGGAAAGUCUUAAGCAGAAGCAAAGCAAGUCAACAAUUUUGUUUUGUGACAAUAGUUCUACUAUUUCGGUCACAAAAGAUCCAAUUCUUCAUAGAAGGACAAAACACAUUCGCAUUCGAUAUCACUUCUUGAGAGAACUAGUGAAUAAUGGUGAUGUUCAAGUUGAAUAUUGCAAGACGGAAGAUCAGAUGGCUGAUAUCUUCACAAAGCCUCUAAGUGGACAAGUCUUCAAGAAAAAUGUUGAAAGGUUGGGAGUUCAAAGCAAGUUUAAUUUAAGGGAGGCAUUGUUGGCACAUAAUUAAAUUAACCUUGCACAAAUAAAUUAUGAAAAGUUAGAAGAGUGAAGAGACUUGAAUAUGAAAAGUGAAAAAACUUGAAUAUGAAUAGUGAAGAGACUUGAAGAUGAAAAGUUAAGAGGCUUGAAUAUGAAAAGAUACACACAUGCAUGAAUAGUCACAACUCCUAGCAUAUAGUGAUAUAGAUGAAUAGUCACUUACAACUCUUAUAUAAAGAGUUAUAUGUGAUGAAGAAUUAUUAACUUUGUGUGCUUGAAAUAAAAGAUUAUUUGAAAGAAUUUUUUCAUACAAAAUUUAUUUCUCUUCUCCAUUAUAUUCUUUAUCAUUUUCUUUGUUUUAUUUCUCCAAAUAUUAAUCAUUCAACUACAGAUAGGUCCAACCAUUCAAGACUUGUCAAAUCCCCUACUGAGGUAGGGAUACCACUAUUAAGGUUAUUAUGAGAAAGGUUGAGCCCUUUCAGUAAGUUAAGCUUCCCAAUAACCUUUGGAAUCUCCCCUUCAAACUGAUUGCUUGAUAGAUCAAUGAUCACCCACAUAGUGAAAAUUUUCACCAAUUCCACGUCUUGUCCUUUCAUAACAAUUCCAAUGGAAUAGGCAUAGAAGUCAUCUCCAUCAUUCACCCCCAUGUACGACACUGUACUACUAACCUUCUCUAGAUUUAUGAUAGCCUUGAAGCUGUUGAUGUAUCUCACUAGUAGGGGUCCAGAAAAAUAAUUACUUGAGAGGUCAAAAAUUUGGAUUUUAGAGAAAAAAGGGCUAGACUUGGAGUUAUUGACACACAGGGAACCAUGCAUUUGAUUUGACUUUAGUACAAGAACUUGUAGCUGUGGAAGACUUCCCAACCAAUGAGGAAAUGUAUCAUUGAUCUUGUUGUUACCAAGAUCUAGUACUUCCAGACCUCUACAAUUAAGGAUGGAUGGUGUCAAAGGCCCUCCUAACAGAUUUCCAUUUAAAUUGAAAUUACUCAAUUGGCAUCCCAUUGCAAAUGUUGGAGGAAUCGUCCCAUAGAACUUGUUCUUCUUCAGAUUCAAGAAUUGAAGGCUGUUGCUCAAAUUUCCAAAACACUGCGGAAUUGUUCCACUCAAGUAAUUGUGGGACAAAUCAAGAAUUUGAAGAUAAGUGGCAUUGCAUAUUAAUGAAGAGACCUCUCCAUUGAAACAAUUAUUUGAGAUCAAAAAGACAGUGAUGGUCGAAGCUGGAAUCGGAAGAUUUCCACUGAUCAAAUUGGAGCUUAAGUCAAGAACAUCAAUAUUCUUCCAUGGAAAGUGCUCAGCUUCUGUCAAAGAGUUGUGAAAUACAUUUAAGUAAGUCAAAGAGCCAUUCCCCACCUCUUGCAUCCACUAUGGAAUCUUGCCUUUAAUUUUGUUGCAAGAGAGGUCUAAGCUUUCCAAACUUUUAAGCCCUUUUAAAAAUUGGGGGAAUUCACUAAGAUUGCAAGAUGACAAAAAUAACCAUUCAAGAUUUCCACUGAUCAAAUUGGAGCUUAAGUCAAGAACAUCAAUAUUAUGACGAUAUAUAAGUUUCCCUUUAUUUUUUAAAAAAAAACCUCGUCUCGAGAUAUCGAAAGGUCAUAUCCAAUGAGUUAGGACACAACGUUUUGAAUUCCCGAGAUAAGCUUUAAUUUGAAAUUUUUAUAUUUUAAUUAAAAAAUGAUACUCAGUUACUUAAAUUCAACGAGGAAAAUUGGAGCCCAGUAAGUUAGGGCACAUUCUUCUCGAAAAUCUUGGAUACCGGGUAUUACGUUAUUUUGAAAACCUUUGAAUAAAACGAUUUCUAUACUUUGAUUAAAUGCAACCUUUUAAACGAAUAAAAUGCGAUGGAACAAUAACAUACAACCCGAAGUGAUAAUUCGUAAACUAAAAUAUAUGCUAAUGAUUGACAAGGAAUCAAUGAAUACGAGUAAGCAAUACAAUACAUCAUAUAAGAGCAACAAUCUCAUAUCCCACAUUAUGCAAAUACUAACGUCCAUAUUAGCAAGCUAAAUGAAUUAAAAGUUAAUUAAAGAACAGCAAGCAAAUUAAUGUAAAUCUAAUAUAACAAGCUUUAAAAUAAAAUAAAAAUAAAAAUCAUGAAAGAGAGGAAAGUGCUAAGGGAUAAGAUUGAAGGCCCGUAAUAUGAUCGCAAGACAAAGAAGCACGCUCUGUUAUGGAAAAAGAGUUCUUGAACUGGAUUAAUGAAGAGCAGGAGUGAGAUCCUGAAGAAGAAAAAGAAGCAUAAAGAUGGGGAAAAAAGAGGAAUAGGGAGAGAAAGAGAUAGGAGGCCAUGUUAUGUUUGUAGAGGAAGAAGGAUAGGAAUGGUAUUUAUAGGCAACAAAUAAUACCACAACAUUGGUGUUACAGUCUUUUUUUUCUUUUACAUUGAAAUGCUACAGAUAUUAGAUUUUCAAAAUAUUUGUAUUUUUCACAAUCAUCAACACUUAGUCGUCAUUUUACCAUAUAUUUUUCAUUCUUUUUUUUUUUAACAAAAUCUUGUAUAUCAUUUGGACUCGCUAAACAACUAAAAAAAUAAAGAUUGAUGAGAUUACAAAGUAGAUUGACUUAGUCUUCUUCCCUAUAACAUGUAAAGAAUGUAUGUGUCUAUUCAAUUGCCUGUCAACCAAAGCUUAUUAAUGUGGAAAUUCUUUUCCACACAAAAGAACAAAAUUGUGCUCUAUUCAGCUACGUUUGAGGAAGGAGACGGCUGGAAAUUUAAUCCACCGAUUCCAUAAAAACGUGUAUAUUUAUUUAUAAAUAUAUAUAUAACCUCAUGAUUCAAAUCUAAAAUCUCAUUUGUUAUAAAUUCUUAUAAAUUUAUUUGGGAAUAGUUAUUUUUCAUUCGUUAAUUAUUUCUCUUUUAGCCGUGAAACUUAUAUGGUUCGUUAAAUCGCCCCAAAAAAUGAUAAAAAAGAUUAACAAAACUAGCCCCUACGUGGCUGAUGUUGACCCUUAGUAGUUAAUGGCAACUCCUAUGUAAUUGUUAACAGAUACCACAGCAACAAUGUUUGUUGACGUGACAAUGCCACAUGACCAAUAAUCGUUGUCAUGGUAGUGCCACGCCGUCACCCAUUGAUGACAUAUUAACCUUCGAGUUAAACUCAAAUUGCUCUUUCCUUUGUUAUAAAUUAAGAGUAUAACUAAUUUUGAUAAGAAUAGUUACUUUUCAUUAACUCAGUUUAAAGGACUAUAACACGUAAAGUUUGGUCUAUUGCAGAAUUCACAUGCAAUGCGGGAUAUUUACAUUUUGAAGAAUUCAACACAUAUAUGGGAAUUUUUGUAUUUCCACAAUCAUAAUUUUGUUAGUGAUCAACAACUACUUCCUCCUUACCAUAUAUUUUUCAUUCAUAAAAUUGAUUACUUUUUUUAUCAAAGAAGUAAAAUAAUUAACAUUCUUAAGAUUACAAAGUCUUCUUCCUUAUAACACGUAAAGUUUAGUUCCAAAUAAUUUUCCACAAAAAAAAGACCAUCAAUUGUCGAUUGACUAUACUUUAACUCCAAAAAAAAGACUAAGACUAUCAAUUGUCUAUUGACUACACUUUAACUCGACAAAAAAGGACUAAGACUAAGACUUUCAAUUGUCUAUUGACUUCACACUUGCGGUUGCUUCCUCCUAUCUCUCUCACCCAAACUUAAUUUAGAAGCAAUGGGGAAAUUUUGGACAUUUGGGCCACAAUGAACAAUACUUCCACACCAUUUGCAGUAUUGACUACGUUUACUUGAGGGAAAACAAAGACAUGAAUGCUGGAAAUUUUAACUAGUUUGUACCGUCAAUGAAGCUACGUACCUAAAAGCCUUUUAGGAUAUCAAUUCCUGUAAUUGGAUUAAUCUCAUCGUUGCUGCAAUCUUUUGACAGUGUAAUCGAAUCUUAAAUAUGUUACUCUGCAAUGCUGUUGUAAAAAUUACUCUUAAAAUUGUCGAUAGAUAUAUAGGUUUGGCACAAAAUUAAGAAUACACAAAGGCAGGUUGAAUUAUUCCAUGUUUGAACAUAAAUUCAUAUGGCAAAAGGGCCCAAACCAUACCUUAUGUUCAUGAAUUCUCAUCAUCACAUGUUUAUAAAUGCAUCUCAAAACUUGAAUAAUUGAAUCUUUUGUAAUUCUACAUGUAUUUUUUUUUAUGGUGAGCAGUAUAAUGUUUACUAAAAAUUGAAAUUCAAGAAAGAAGACAUACAUAGUUGCACCAUACAAGUUGUUACACUCGAACUAAACCCUUACAAAUAGUACGAGAUGCAAUGAAAUACAGAGGAAUUGGUACAAUCAUAAAGACAGACACAUACCAAUGCAACUUUUCACCAUAGGAAAAACUUUCUGACAGACUACUAAACAAGAAAUUAUGAAGACACAGCAGAAAUGCUUUGACUUCUUUUGCACCAACUAGAUCCUUCUUCAUCCAUUGAUGCGAUUGCUAUAUUUUGGCUUUCUUCUUCGCCUCUUCUCAUGUUGGUUUUCAACCAAAUUCACAAACCUUUUCACCUUACCGGUUUGGAAAACAACAUAUCCCAUGGCCAUUCCAAACACUACCCCGCAUCCACAACCUAUCAACACCACUAUCCAACCAAAAGCAAUGUUUGCUUUUGAGCCAUCCUUUUCCAGCACAUUUGGAGGUGGUGUCUCAUUGAUGCUGCAACCUUUGGAGACUGGGAAUCCACAUAGUCUCUGUUUCCUUCAUAUGAAUUGUUUCGAAAUGUAUUGACAAUCUGACCAUGGAGUUGAUUUUCAGAAACGUUUAAGAAGAAAAGAAAUGCCGGAUCUGCCAAUAUCUCUGGAAUUAACUCAGUUCAAAUGACCAUAUAACUCGUAAAGUUUGGUCGAAGACUGGCAGCGUCUAUUGACUUCAACUCUUGCUAUUACCUCAAGAAGAAAGACUGCUACAAUUCUAUCUUCUUUAAACCAGCUAUUUAAAAGCAAUAAGGACAUUAAAUCCACCAAUUUAUCUUUGAAGUCAUUCGUCAUGCAGCUCUGCUAUGUACGAUUAUUGGCAAAAAUCUUGAAAGGAGACAACCUCAAAUUUGAAGACAAGAAAUGAGCAAGAACAUGCACCAACGAAGAAUCGAUUAUUGUUUUGUAUUUGGUAAAUACAAUUUGAGUUAAAUAAUCAAGAAUGAUAGUGAAUAAAUAAGGAAAAACAAUGUAGAUUCAGAACCACAAUAAAUCAUAUUAAGCUCAUGAGUUUAUAAUAUAUAUCUCUGCAGCUUGAUUGCCUUGUUAGCUAUAAACAUAACCUGUUAAUUCCAUCAUUAAUACCAUUAGAUAUAUUUUGAUGGGGGAGAUUUUUUAGUAGGAAAACAGUUGAAGUCAUUCAAGAAGACAUAAACAGCUGCAACUACGUAAGAGUUUAACUUUGAGAAUAGAUCCUUACACGUUAUUGAAAUGCCAUACUAAAGAUAAAGACAUAUAGCUAAACGUUAGACACACCAUAAAAAUAUAUAUAGGUAAAGUGAUAGGGUGUGAGUAAGGAGGCCAUGCUAUGUUUUCAAAUAAGAUUAUCAUGGUAUGAAUUAUGAGAACCCUAUUUAUAGGAAGAACAAAACCGAUAUGAAACUAAGAAUAUAGUCCAUUGAUAAUGAAGAAUCUAAGAAAUUUAAUGGAAAUUGUGGAUAAGCAUCGUGUUUUUAUCUCUGAUGGAGAAAAGCUAAGAGUGUGAGGAAGACCAACUGUCAAUGUCACCCAAACCGAAUCUACAAGUCACCACAAUGUACAGUAAUUCAAAGCAGGAAAAGUUCAUAGUUUCAGAGUAAAUAACACUUCAAUGAUUGUAUUAUAGAAAACAUGUGUAUCCUAUAUAUGUUGAACAAUAUUAUCUAACAAACAUAUUUUCCAAAAGACUAGAAAAUUUGUGAUUAAAUGCUAAAGUUACAUAUUUUAUGUAAUUAAAUUGGUUAAUUUAUGAGAGUGCACCACUAAUUUUUCCAUGUUUUUGUUGAAUUUUGUGCAGGGGUGCAAUUUGGGGCUAAAUAGAAGAAAAAGGAAACAAUUGGGCUAGAUUGAAGAGAGAAGCAAAGAAGGAGGGCCAAAACAGAAUUUUUCCAGAUUAAUUAGCUGAAAUUUUUGUUGACUUAGUGGGAGAUUAUUUUGGGAUUUUUUUUUAUAUCAUGGAAUAUUUUUCCUUAAUUUUCUAUACUAGUUGGCUUUUAAUUUAGCAAGGCCACUAGUAUAAAUAGAGGCUACAUUGUUCAUUUUAAUCAUCAAGUCUUGAAUCAAUUCAUAAAUCAAGCUUUCAUCUUUCAAUACAUUCUCUCUUUUCUACUCACAAAUUUAUUUGUUGUUUUUAGUUUCAUUUACUUUCAAUCCAUUAAUUUCCAGCUUGUUACCACUUAAACCAUUUUCAAUUUCUUUUUCAAACUUUCUUUCCAUCUCCAGUAGCUAAUUCACUUUAUUACACCCCCAAAAUUCCAGCCCCCCAAACUAAAUCACGCCACCCAUUCCUUUCACCCAUUUUACCUUAUUUAAUUUAUCCAAUACCAACAUGCCCCAAACCUUAGCCAACUAAAUUCAUUUCCAGCUUUAGGUCGGAAUUAGCCUCGUCAAAACCCGUGAGUUACGAACCCGAGCAAAUUAACUCCUAAAUUUUAGUACUUAUUAUUUCUCCGGAUUAAGAGUAUGAUUUUGUCAACUCACAAAGUCAGAUCAACAUUAAGUUAAAAAAGACGUCGUUUGAUUUAGUGUGGUUAGACGUACAGUUGGAAUUCCAAAAAGAUCGAUUCUAAUCGGUUUUCUGUGAACACAUUGGCGUGCCAAUUGGAGAUUGCUGUUUGGUUCCGUCAAGGGAAGUAGUAACCCGAUUUAAAUGUCCCACGCGGUUGAGGGCAUUGGUUCGAGCUAGGGUUUUCUAGAACGCAAAGCUGCCGGAGUUCUAAAUCACGAACAUUUCGUGGUUGUUCGAUCAGUAAGGGUUAGUUAUUGGACGUUCCAUAACUAAUUUACACAAGGAAGAGUUAGUGUCUGAGGCGUCCUUGGUAGCUAUAACUAGCUUAUUGGAAAAGAGGAGUUCAUCUAAUUUUGAGAAUCGGUUCAAAGACGAGGAAAAUUCGUGCCUAAAGCUGAGCUUAUUCUAAUUAAAUUUUCUUCAUAUUUAUUUAACUAUUUUAAUUAUUCUGUUUUCAACUUUAUCUUUUCACGCAUUUUAUUUAUUUAUUUCAGGUCUUCAAAUUUUAUCCCCCCGAACUUCUUGGGCACGACAACUGCCCCAACAUAAAUCUGGUCAAAAUAGAAACAAUUUGCAGUAAACCCAGUCUCUGAGGGAUCGACCCUACUCCCUAUACUGUUUAAAUCGCAAAUUAGGCGUAGGUUUAUAUUGGUGGAUUCGACACCCAUCAAUUUGUAUGUCAUUUUCUAUUACUUGCAAGAAAACUACAGGGGAAAUUGCAUUUCUAAUUCAUCCAUAGGCUUUAAAUUCAAACAAGAAAAAGGAAAAAGAAUAUAUAUAUAUCAACAGGAAACUUCAAGGAGAGAAAUUUUGUUACAUCAAUUUUCCAGUCAUAUUUAAUCUUUACCCAAAGUUGAUUCUAGAUUAAAUUUGGAAAAAAUUAAAAAAGAGGACAUGUAUUUUUUUUUAUUUUUGAAAAGUAAAGGAUUAUAUCUCAGCCAAAUAAAAAAGUCACAAUGCAAAGCCAAGAGCCAAAGCCAAGCCAAGCACACACUCAACUAGCAGACAUAACUCAUACAGGACCUAGAUGUAUUAUUGAACUCUUAUAUAAAAGACAACUGAAGAUGCAAAGCUUAAUUGUUAAGCUUUUCUGAUGCUUGAUAAGCAUAGUUUUAGUUCAGUUCCGAAAUCUAAACUGCUUUGCUAUGGGAUUAUUUUUAUAAGUACAUUGAGAUCAAUGCAUGCUAUUGCGAUUUAUUAUCUUUGAUGCCAAGGAAAUGACAGAAUUCAAAGACCAAAAGGUUCGAUUACAUACUAGAUCAUGGAUGUAAGCCAAUCUACAACCUCUCUCCUCGACCUCCAUGUGAAACCAGCAUGAUUUGAAUUCUCAGCCGCAUAUACCCUCACAAACUCCUCAGCAACAACAUAAAACAUAUACCUAACACUCCUUUGAGAACCGAUAACUGCACAGACAGAUUCACUAAUGGAAGCCUUCAAGAAAUAUUGAACCACACAAUUACCACACUUCUGUGAAAUAAACUUGUUGGUGCAAAGAGACAACAAUAGACUGUUUUCAAUCUUGCUUGUAUAGCAAGCCUCGAGCCUUGCUGAAGAAACAAACUCAAAAGCAAGAACAGAAACACAUGCGAAUGAAAAACAAAAGAAAUUGAGAGAGAGAGUAUUUUGAAUGAAAAGAGCUGAUAUUUCAUUAACAAAUCCAGAAGGCAUAAUGCCAUUACAUAUAAUAGAUAACAACAACAAAAUGAACAAGUCUUUACCUAAUGACAUACCUAACACCACUAAAUUUACAUUGGAAAUUGUUAAUCAGCUUGCUUAAGUUUCUUUGCUGAUUUUUUCAGUCAAUCAAUCAACAAAAAACAUCAUAAGGUUUACCAACUUAGUUCAACAUGAACUAGAUUACAAAAUAAUAAUUAAAAAUACAAUCAAAACAUAACAAGUAGUUAGGCAACUUUAAGCUCCAGUUUCUGCACUUCAUAGCUCGACUGCUUGCUGCCACUUCUCCUUGCAUGGCCACCUUUGCAUGUCUUGCAUGGGAACUAAAUUCAACACUCCUCCUUAGUUUCCAUGCUAGUGACACCUAAUUGCCUUCUUAAUUUAACAAAUUUAGACACAUUGAGUGCCUUUGUAAAGAUAUCAGCAAUUUGCUCUUCUGAAUUGCAAUGAACCAGCUCGAUUUCAUGAGCUUGCUCCAUCUCCCUUAUGACAUGUAGCUUGAUGUUGAAGUACUUUGCUCUACCAUGAAAGAUAGGAUUCUUUGCAAUUGCAACAGCAGAUUUGUUGUCACAGUAAAUCUCUGUUGCCUUUCCUUGAUUUUGAUUUAAAUCAGCUAGGAUUUUUCUAAGCCAUAUGGCUUGAUUUACAGCAGAUGCAGCAGCAACAUAUUCAGCUUCUGCUGUUGACUGUGCUACCAGACUUUGCUUUUUAGAACUCCAGCAAAACAUGCCUGAGCCAAGACUAAAGGCAUAUCCAGAUGUGCUUCUCAUGUCAUCACAAGAUCCAGCCCAGUCACUAUCAACAUAGCCUAUUAGCUUCAUGUUUAUAGCCCUUUUGAACAAUACACCAUGAUCAAUGGUGCCUUUGAUGUAUCUAAGCACUCUUUUAGCUGCUUGAAAGUGCUGAUCAUUGCAGCAAUUCAUGUAUCUGGAUAGCACACUAACAGCAAACAUGAUAUCGGGUCUUGUUGCAGUCAAAUACAACAGACUACCAAUGAGACUUUUGUACAUAGUCUCGCAAAUUGGUUCACCACUCCCUUGCCUCGAAAGCUUCACUCCAACAGCCAUUGGUGUGCUUGUUGGCUUGCAGUUCUUCAUAGAGAACUUAUCCAGGAUCUUCAUAGUAAAAGAACUCUGACUAAGAAAGAUUCCCUUUGCUGUUUGCUUCACUUCCAUUCCAAGGAAGUAGUUCAUUCUGCCUAAAUCAGACAUUUCAAACAUUUCCAUCAUUUUUCUUUUGAAAUCUUCCAGCAUUCUUCUAUCUCCUCCAGUCACCAAUAAAUCAUCAACAUAGAGUGACAGGAUAAGCUGAGUUUCAGCUUGGUUCUUCUUCACAUACAGUGUUGGUUCACUGAGACUUCUCUCGAAUUCCAAACUGAGCAAGUAAGAAUCAAUUCGAGCAUACCAGGCUCAAGGAGCCUGUUUUAGGCCAUACAAAGCCUUUUUCAGUCUGUACACCUUGUGUUCUUUGCCAGUGACCACAAAUCCUUGAGGCUGUUCGAUGUAGAUCUCUUCUUCCAGGAAACCAUUGAGAAAUGCAGACUUAACAUCAAGCUGAUGAAUGGUCCACUGAUGUUGAGCAGCCAAGGCAACUAUCAUUCUAACUGUGUCAAGCCUGGCUACUGGUGCAAAUGUCUCCAGAUAGUCCAGACCAUACCUUUGGCUAAAACCUUUGACAACAAGCCUGGCUUUUAGCUUGUUCAGACUGUCAUCUGCAUUCUGUUUUGCUCGAUAGACCCAUUUUACUCCAAUGGUCUUCUUUCCAGUAGGUUUAUCAACUAGCUCCCAUGUCUGGUUCUUCUCAAUCAUGUUGAUUUCAUCGACCAUAGCUAGUUUCCAGCCUUCAUCUGCCUCAGCCUCUUCAAAACUGCUAGGUUCUGCUAUUGCAACCUGUGCCCUUUCAUAAAUAUCAUCUAGGGGCCUUGUGCCUCUCACAAGCACAUCAUCAACAUCCAUUUCAGGUCCUAGCUGCUCAAGUUCAGCUUGAUUAGGCACCAGGUCUUCUGAAGCAGCUUCUGGUUCAUUCUUUUCCCAAUUCCAACAAGCCUUCUCAUCGAAGAUGACAUCUCUGCUCACUUGAACUAUGUUUGUCAAAGGAUCCAGCACCCUGUAGCCCUUCUUAACUGAGCUAUAGCCUACUAGAACACCUGGUUGAGCCCUUUCAGAGAGCUUGUCUCUCUUAACUGCUGGUAUUUGUGCAUAACACAGGCAACCAAACACCUUCAGAUGUACCAAGGAAGGCUUGAAACCGGACCAAGCCUCGAAAGGUGUUUUGGAUGCAAGAGCUUUGGUAGGAAGCCUAUUUUGAAGGUAGACAGCAGUGUUUACUGCCUCAGCCCACAUGGUCUUGGGCAGUUUCUUCUCAAACAGCAGGCACCUGGCCAUAUCCAUCAAGCUUCUGUUCUUUCUUUCUGAUACCCCAUUCUGCUGAGGUGUGUAGACAUUUGUAAGCUGGUGUUUGAUACCAGCAUCAUUGCAAAUGGCUUGAAACUGAGCUGAAGUGUACUCAGUGCCAUUGUCUGACCUUAUCGAUUUCAGCUUGCAACCUGUUUCUGUCUCUACAGCAAUUUUAAACUUCACAAACACUUGAGCUACCUCAAACUUGUGUUUUAAGAAGAAAAUCCAGCAAAACCUUGUAAAAUCAUCAAUGAAGAGGAUGAAAUACCUAUUUUUCUUGAGUGAUUCAGUCCUCAUCGGGCCACAUACAUCAGAGUGCACCAGCUGUAGUUUUUUAGUAGCUCUCUAAGCUGAAUUUGUAGGAAAUGGCAGUCUUGCCUGUUUCCCCAUCUGGCAAACUUCACACACAUCAUCAUGCUCCACUGAGCUAGUAAAGUUCUCUGCCAAGCCUUCUUUGGCCAUUCGAGCCAAUGAUCUGAAGUUGGCAUGCCCAAGCCUUUGAUGCCAAAGCUUGGAAUCAUCAACAGAGGCUGUAUAUGCAGACUUUGAGUCAUUUGGCCAGUGUACCUCAAAGCAUUUGUUAGUCAUUGUGACUGUCAUAAGGCUUGAUCCACUUGGAUCAGCAAUGUGGCACUGUUUGUUCUUGAACACAACAGAAUAGCCUUUCUUGAGCAAUUGAGCUAUGCUGAGAAGGUUUCUGUCGAUUUCUGGCACUAACAGCACAUUUGGAAUGAUCUUGUUGCCUGUGGGGGUACAUAUCAGCACCUCUCCUCUUCCUUCAGCCCUUAUGAACUGACCAUUUCCAACCUUGACCUUGGUUUUACAACUUCUAUCCAAGGUUUUAAAUAAGGAGGCAUCUGGUGACAUGUGGUUAGUGCAACCACUGUCCAAUAACCAGCCUUUUGAGCAUUUCUUCUCAGCAGCUAAGAAAGAAACAGCAAAGACCUGCUCUUCUUGAUCACUACUGUCCUCAGCUACUCGAGCUUCAACCUUUGGUUGUUGAAAUUGACUCUGCCUUGACUUGGUUUUAUUUUUGCAAACCCUUUCAACAUGGCCUUUCUUCUUGCAGUGUUGGCAUACUGCAUCUGGCCUGAACCAGCAUCUGUCUUCUGGAUGACCUGGCCUCUUGCAAUGUCUGCAGGGCUGGUCAUUGCUCCUUGCAGUAUCAGGCUUAGGCCUGCUUUUCCAAGGCUUUUUACCUCUUGGAGCAUUGAUGCUCGAGGCUUCUCUGGCCUUGGCAUUGAAUGCACCUUCCUGGUGGUCUUCAGCUCUGCUAGCUCUCCUUUGUUCCUGAGCAUAGAAAGUGUUGAUUAGCUCAGUCAAAGAGAUGGUAGCAAGGUCUCUUGAGUCCUCAAGAGAGGAUAUCUUGGCCUCAUAUCUCUCAGGCAAAGUGGAGAGAACUUUCUCUACUAUCCUUGCCUCAUCAAAGUGCUCACCAAGGAGCCUUAUACUGUUAACCACUGCCAUGAUUCUAUCUGCAUACUGCUUCACUGUUUCUUCUUCCUUCAUCUUCAGGUUCUCAAAAUCCCUUCUCAAAUUCAAUAGCUGUUGUUGCCUUGUUCUCUCAGUGCCUUGAAACUCCUCCUUAAGCUUAUCCCAUGCCUGUUUUGGAGUCUCACAGGCCAUAAUUCUGGUGAAGAUGACAUUUGACACACAAUUCUGAAUGCAGGACAUGGCUUUGUGCCUUUUGGUCCUCUCAUCAGCAUGUUGCCUAAUCUGAGCUACUGUGGGAUUGGCCCUCAGUGGUGCUGGCUCAGCAUCUGUGUUGACAACUUCCCACAGAUCAAAGGCCUGUAGGUAAGUCUUCAUCUUGACCAGCCAUAUGUGAAAGCCUUCUCCAUUGAAGACUAGUGGGGCUGCUGGUGAAAAACUUGAGGAAGACAUUCAGCUUUCUUAGUUUGAUAAAACAGGUCCACUAAGAAUGAAGCUCUAGAUACCAAUUGUUGGUGCAAAUAGACAACAACAGACUGUUUUCAAUCUUGCUUGUAUAGCAAGCCUCGAGCCUUGCUGAAGAAACAAACUCAGAAGCAAGAACAGAAACACAUGCGAAUGAAAAACAAAAGAAAUUGAGAGAGAGAGUAUUUUGAAUGAAAAGAGCUGAUAUUUCAUUAACAAAUCCAGAAGGCAUAAUGCCAUUACAUAUAAUAGAUAACAACAACAAAAUGAACAAGUCUUUACCUAAUGACAUACCUAACACCACUAAAUUUACAUUGGAAAUUGUUAAUCAGCUUGCUUAAGUUUCUUUGCUGAUUUUUUCAGUCAAUCAAUCAACAAAAAACAUCAUAAGGUUUACCAACUUAGUUCAACAUGAACUAGAUUACAAAAUAAUAAUUAAAAAUACAAUCAAAACAUAACAAGUAGUUAGGCAACUUUAAGCUCCAGUUUCUGCACUUCAUAGCUCGACUGCUUGCUGCCACUUCUCCUUGCAUGGCCACCUUUGCAUGUCUUGCAUGGGAACUAAAUUCAACAAAACUCCUUCUGCCACUCGAAACAAUGACCAUUCCAAACAUUUUGAUAGACAAUACACAAUUUGCUUCACUACUUACUCACAUAGCCAAAAAAUAUCCAAUGAAACUGGCAAAGGGUUCUUCCAAAAUGGUACAUUAGCUGCCAAAAAGACAACCACCAUAUAUUCCUUCAUUCAGUAAACAGCUUCAAUAUGGAAAUAAGUUAUUAUCUUAAAAAUGCUUUUUCUACCACAGAAGAAUAAGAACUAGGCAUCUCAGAAAAUUUGCUAAAUUAAUGACUUUGCUCCCUUCAAAAUAAACAAAUGAUUAACUGCAUUAUCCCAAAGAGGUCACCAUCAACCUCCAGUUGAACUUUCAAGGAAUAAUAAUAAAAAAUAGAAGGAAAUAAGGGGGAAAAAACCCAACCAGAACUCAGUAAUAGCUGAGCCUUGAAGAUCUGUAGGUAGUAAGAGAAAAACCCCAUGACGACUAAAGUCCAGGCUUGAAAGAACCAAAAGGGAGCAACAUAUGACUAUGAUUCACUGGACCAAGAGAAUCACCAAUGAAUAAAGGAAAAAGGGUACUUUCCUUUAUACCUAAACAUACAAUAUUUAGCCUCAAAAUGGGAAAAUUUCAGGUUUUCACAAAGGGUUUAAGAAAGAGGGUGAAAGUUAAAGAACUUGUCUUUGUUUUGAUGUGUGGUACACGAGAUAGUGAAGGAAAAUAGAGGUGAGGAAAUAAGAUGGAGUAAGUGCCUAAGUGGUGAAAAAGGAGAGCCUAAAAGAGACAUUUUUGAAGGGUAGUUUAGAAGCUGCAGAGGCUUUGGCAUACAGCAGCUGAUAAUGAGAGAAGACAAACCAGAAAUGUAAGUACGACGACGAUAAAAAUUAAAAAAUUUUAAGAAUUAAUGAAAUAAAAUUUUGUAGCUUAGCGAAUUGGGACGAAGUCCACCAGUGUGAUGCCCAUAGAUCCAUACCUGGGAUUUUUCUAUUUGGGCUAACUUUCUAACUUCUCCCACCAGUCUUAAAACUUUGCAGAUUUUUUCAAUUUGAUCUGGAUUGUAUGAUAACAUAUCACUUUGAGAUUGGAAAAAAAAUUAUUUUUUUUAAAUUAGAGAAAAAAUAAAGAAACUAAAUUUCAAGCAUGCAAAGUACAAAAGAAAGAACUGUAUUAAUAAAAGAUGAGUUACUUCACUCAGAUUGGAGUACCCUUUAAACAAGUUUAUUCUUGUAGAGAAAGAAACUGGAUUUUGAUUUCAUUUGCUGUGGCAAAAUUUUUAAUUUCAACAACAGUAUAACAUAUUGAAAGCCUGCCUACAUCUCGGCAGAAAAAUUUACAAAUUCUUUCAUCAGACAAUUUAAAUGAUGCAAUGCAAAGAUUCAUCAAUGUAUGAUCUUUUUAUCAUAAAUGGCUGUUUUACUGGAAAACUUGAUAUGUACUGUCUUUCACAUUCUUUUGUGCUGAAUGGUCUCUGAAAACUGCAAUCAUCAACUAUAGAUAACCCAUUCCUCAGCGCCGCCAGAGCCGACCUUGUUGUUUCUGUUCUUGAACUUGCCUGUGUCAUCAAAGGCAGUGAGCAUUUAUCAAUGUUAUAAAAAUGGCAUAUCGAAGUCAGAUUUUACUUGACAAUACACAAAUGUAAGAAGAUAAUUCACCUUUGAUACUCUUUAGAACGCUCGAGAAACUCUUUCGCGAUGUCUUUUCUUUAAUAUGAUUGCAAUACUUGUCUGAUAUCAGCCGGACCAUUGUGUUAGUACAAAACUCCGGUAAGGAAAAAAACUCGAACACACGAUCGGAACUCGAAAAGAAAAAGAAGAAAUAGGACAGGCUCCAAGGCGUGUAUCAAGCCACUAUCUUUAAGGUUAUAUUCGCCCCCACUUAUCUUCAGUGUGCAAACGAGUUCCAAGCAAAUUAACCUCGAGGAUACAAUGAAGCCAAUGACUAUUUGCGUUUUGCACUGACGAGAAUAGUCCACUAUACACUAAGUAAUGUAUAACAAAAACUCAAUUUCUACAAAGGAUUUCUGCAGCAAUACUUUAUAGAAUAAUCUAAUAAUAUUAGAAAAUGAAGGAAGAGAAGAAAUAAUAUUAGAAUUUGUUGAUAUGAUUUCCAAAUGAAAUCCCAUUCCUAUUUAUAGGAAUUUUCAUGUCUCUUCAUAGAGACAUCUUUCAAUAGGUGUCUUUAUGAAUAAAUAAAUAAUAAUAAUUAUUCAUUUAAUUUUGUAACUAUUCAAAUAAUAUUUUUUGAAUAGUUAUAAUUCUUUUUUAAAAAAUCAAAUGAUAUAACUUUUGACCAAUGACCAAAAGUUUUAUCUUUUGAUUAAUUACACCCAUUCAUUUAUAGUUAUUGGGAUACUAUAAAUAUUUGAAAAUAUUCCAACAAUCUCCCCCCAUUUUCAAAAUAUUUAGAUUUUGAUAUUCUUGGAAAUCAAUUUGCAUAAAUAAAGGUGUCUUACGAUUGAACCUUCACUUAGUGAAAACAUGUUAAAGUUAAUCGAAAUUGUAUGGUAGACUAAGCUUUGAACCAACUAUUCCAUUUGAUUAAUUGAACACAUCUCACACAAUGAUUUCAACAUCAGUCAAUGCAUAGUAUCUAGGGACACUAUUAUAGCCAUGUGUCUAUGUCCUCUUUUCAUGAGUGCUGUCAGAGCCAAGCCCUUAAGCUCCUAGAAGCGGCCACACUUCCACUCACAUAGGUAGAUCCCAUCAAAAGUGUUCCCGUAAUUAUAACACUCUAACAUAUUUAUGUUAUGGGUCCAUUAAGAGUAAAUUACUCAUCCUUCCCUUAUCAUUACGGGUACCUAGCACUUUAAUCUUAGGAUGGAUUUAUUUAUAGUGCUAACAGUCACAUACUAAUGAUGUACUUUGUCUCAUUGAACUCAAGACUUGACGUUAUACCAAGCAUUGAGUCGAGUUUCCAUCAUGGGUGACUCUAAUUAAUAGGCUUGAGUCCCAUCCCUUUUGAGGUCCUUUUUACUGCAUCUCUAGCAAGACUUUUUGUCAAAGGAUCUGCCAAAUUUUCACUUGACCUCACAUAAUUAAUAGUGAUCACUCCAUCAGAGAUUAAUUGUCGGACAUAACUAUGUCUUAAUCCAAUGUGUCUAGACUUUCCAUUAUAUACUUGGCUAUAUGCCUUUGCUAGAGUAGCCUCACUAUCACAACGGAUAGAAAUAGGUGAAAUUGGCUUAAGCCAUAAACGUACAUCAUAAAGCAAAUUUCUUAACCAUUCUGCUUCUUUAGAUGCAGCGGCUAAUGCAAUAAAUUCUGCUGCCAUGGUGGAAUCAGUAAUACAUGUUUGUUUCUUGGAACCCUAAGAAAUGACUCCUCCACCAAGAAUGAAGAUCCACCCACUAGUAGAUGCAUGAUCUUCCAAACUUGUAAUCCAACUAGCAUCCGAAUACCCUUCUAAAACUGGAGGAUAUCCAUUAUAACACAAUCCAUAGUUAAUAGUUUUCUUUAAGUACCUAAGUACUCUAUUUAAAGCUUGCCAAUGCAAACUACUUGGAUUAUUUGUGUAUCUACUCAAUUUUCCAAUAGCAUAUGCAAUAUCUGGUCUUGUACAAGUCAUUAUGUACAUAAGAAAACCAAUUGACUUGCAUAUUUCAAUUGAUCAAUUUUCCUACCAGCAUUAGAUACUAAUUUUAAUUGAGGAUCCAUGGGUGUAGAUACUGGUAUACAGUUGAAAAUAUCAAACUUUUUAAGCACAUUUUCAAUGUAAUGUGAUUGUGAUAAAGCUAUAGUGCUUUCAUCUCGGGUUAUUUUAAUCCCAAGAAUAACAUCUUCUACACCCAUAUCCUUCAUAGCAAAGUUGUUUGACAAGAAUUUCUUUGUGUUUUCUAUUUGUUCCAAAUCCGUGCCAAAAAUGAGCAUGUCAUCUACAUAUAAGCAAAUUAUAACACCCUUUCCAUUAUCAAAUUUACUAUAUAUGCACUUAUCGGAUUCAUUUAUUUAUAGCCAUUAGCUAAAACAACCUUGUCAAACUUUUGGUGCCAUUGUUUUGGUGCUUGUUUAAGCCCAUAUAAAGAUUUAACAAGCUUACAUACCUUAUGCUCUUGUCCUGGAACAACAAAUCCUUCCGGUUGCUCCAUGUACACUUCCUCUUCCAAUUCACCAUUUAAAAAUGCAGUUUUAACAUCCAUUUGGUGAACAACCAAAUUAUAUAUAGAGGUAAGUGAUAUUAAUAGUCUAAUUGUAGCAAUUCUUGCUACUGGAGCAUAGGUAUCAAAGUAAUCAAUACCUUGUCUUUGUGUAAAACCUUUUGCUACCAACCUUGCUUUAAAUUUAUCAAUGGUUCCAUCGACCUUCAUUUUCUUUUUGAAGAUCCAUUUACAACCUAUUGGUUUGGAACCUGGUGGAAGAUCAACUAAGAUCCAAGUUUGAUUUCCCAUUAUUGAAUCCAUUUCAUCAUUUAUUGCUUCUUUCCAAAAAGUAGAGUCUUGAGAUUUCACUGCUUCUUCAAAUGUAACAGGAUCAGAUUCGGUAUUAUAACAAUAAGGUAUCUUAUUGCAUAUACUUUCACCUUUUCCUUCUAUAAGAAACAUAAUGAAAUCUGGUCAAAAAUCUUUGACCUUUUUAAUCCUCUUACUUCUUCUUAAUUCUUGACAAGAUUCAUCAUUAUUAUCAAUUUGUUUCAAUGGAAUCUCAUUCUCAUUUGAAGAAUGAAUCAAUUGUUGUGGUUGUAAUUGUCUUGAUAUAGAAUUAAAUCUAUUUUCAUCAAAAAUAGCAUCUCUUGAUUCAAUAACCGUAUUAAUUGAAAUUGAAUCAUUUGGUUCAAUUACUAUGAACCUAUAUGCCUUGCUAUUAUGUGCAUAACCUAUAAAUAUGCAUUCAAUUCCUCUUUCACCUAACUUUUUACGUUUAGGUGUUGGAACUUUUACAAUAGCUCUACAACCCCAAACCUUUAAAUAAUUAAGGUUUGGUUUCCUUUUCUUCCAUUGUUCAUAGAGGGUUAUUUUAGUUUCCUUAUUAGGAACUCUAUUCAAUAUAUGACAAGCUGUUAGAACAGCUUCUCCCCAAAAACCCUGUCCAAGACCUGAAUAUGAUAACAUUGAAUUUACCAUUUCAAUCAAGACUCUAUUUUUCCUUUCAGCUACACCAUUUUGUUGUGGUGUGUAAGGGGCUGAAACUUGAUGGACAAUUCCAGUGAGUUCAAAAUAACUUGGAUUAUAGUAUUCUCCACCUCUAUCCGAUCUUAAGCACUUGAUAAAUGAUUCACACUGAAGUUCAACUUCAGAUUUAUAAACUUUAAAUUUAUCAAGCGCUUCAUCUUUUGAAUGCAAUAAAUAUACAUAACAAUAUCUAGAACAAUCAUCAAUAAAAGUAACAAAAUAUUUCUUUCCACCUAAUGUAGGAGUAUUAUGCAAGUCACAUAAAUCACUAUGUAUCAAAUCAAGCAAUUUUGUUUUCCUUUUAACCUUAGGGAAAGGAUUUCUUGUAAUUUUAGUCAACAUACAGGUAUUGCAUUUUUCAAUAUUAUUAUUAAAAACAGGAAUUAAAUCUAAUUUAUACAUGUCAUUCAAUUUUCUAUAAUUCAAAUGACCUAAUCUAUAAUGCCACAAACAAAAUGAUUCAACCAUAUAAGCAGAAAUAGUAUUUUUAUUCUUAUUAAUAAUAUUAAGUUUGAACAUGCUUUCAUACAUAUACCCUUUUUCCCACAAAAAUUCCUCCCUUAGACAAAAUAAACUUAUCUGCCUCAAAAACAAGUUUGAAACCAAACUUAUUCAACAGACUUCCAGACACUAAAUUUUUCCUAACUUCUGGUACAUAAUAUACAUCAUUUAAGGUUAAAACCUUUCCAGAAGUGAAUUGUAGUUCAACAGACCCUUUGCCUUUAAUUUGCGGUGGAAGAAUUUCCCAUGUACAAGACAUUGUCAUUUUCACAUUGUGUGACUUUGUGAACAUGCUUUUGUCUUUGCACACAUGUUUGGUUGCUCCGGUAUCAAUCCACCAUGUAUUAUCAUCUUGUACCAUAUUAAUUUCAGAUAUCAUUGCAACGAACUUUUCGUUAUUAUCAGCCUUAGAAGAUGAUUUCUUCUUUAAAAAUCGAUAUUCAUUCUUGAAAUGUCCCGGCUUUCCACAAUGAUAGCAUGAGCCCUUUUGUUUCUUUUUGAACUUAGGUGCUCUAUCAGCCUGAUUGAACUUUCUUUUGAAUGGUUUAGUAGUCUGUACUUCCUCCGUAACAUGUACUUUGGCAUUUUCAGAAUUUAGGUUCUGAUCUUGUUGUCGAUACUCUUCUUCAAUACGAAGAUGAUUUGCCAAAGCCUCAAGAGAUAUUUCCUCUUUCUUAUGUUUUAGACUUCUUUUAAAGUCUUUCCAAGAUGGAGGAAGUUUGUCUAUUAUAGAGGAUACCACAAUUAUUUCAUCCAUUUUCAUAUCAUAUUGCUUAAAUUGAUUCAACAUCUUUUCAAUAUCACGAAAUUGUUCCAUAACAGAACGACCAUCAACCAUUUGAUAAUUAUUGAAACGACUGACAAGAAAUUUCUUACUUGUAACAUCUUCGGUCAUGUAUCUUGCCUCCAAUUUGUCCCAUAAAUCUUUAGCGGUGACGUCGUUUUGGUAGGUGUCGAACAAACCAUCAGAUAAACCAUUCAAUAUGUGGCCCAUGCACAUGUAAUCAGCAUUGUCCCAUUUUUGUCUUUCUCGGGUUGCAGCAAUAGAUUCGUUUUCAUUCUCUUCAGGUCUUGGAGUAUCCAAAACAUAAGCAAUCUUCAAAGUUGAUAACAAAAAGUGCAUCUUUUUCUGCCAUCGUCGAAAAUUGCCACCAUCAAAACGAUCAAGUUUAACAAAGUUGGAAGCCAACUCCCUUAGUGUUCCACUUUCAUGUGUUGUGGUAGUCAUCAUGAAAUAUAACCUUAAAAUUGUUAGUACAAAACUCCGGUAAGGAAAAAAACUCGAACACACGAUCGGAACUCGAAAAGAAAAAGAAGAAAUAGGACAGGCUCCAAGGCAUGUAUCAAGCCACUAUCUUUAAGGUUAUAUUCGCCCCCACUUAUCUUCAGUGUGCAAACGAGUUCCAAGCAAAUUAACCUCGAGGAUACAAUGAAGCCAAUGACUAUUUGCGUUUUGUACUGACGAGAAUAGUCCACUAUGCACUGAGUAAUGUAUAACAAAAACUCAAUUUCUACAAAGGAUUUCUGCAGCAAUACUUUAUAGAAUAAUCUAAUAAUAUUAGAAAAUGAAGGAAGAGAAGAAAUAGUAUUAGAAUUUGUUGAUAUGAUUUCCAAAUGAAAUCCCAUUCCUAUUUAUAGGAAUUUUCAUGUCUCUUCAUAGAGACAUCUUUCAAUAGGUGUCUUUAUGAAUAAAUAAAUAAUAAUAAUUAUUCAUUUAAUUUUGUAACUAUUCAAAUAAUAUUUUUUGAAUAGUUAUAAUUCUUUUUUAAAAAAUCAAAUGAUAUAACUUUUGACCAAUGACCAAAAGUUUUAUCUUUUGAUUAAUUACACCCAUUCAUUUAUAGUUAUUGGGAUACUAUAAAUAUUUGAAAAUAUUCCAACACAUUGCGGGCUACAUCUGUGAACAAAUCAAAACAAAUGGUACUAUAAUCAACAAAUGAAUAUAGGAAACAUAAAAUUUGAACAAAGGCGAUGUGCAGAGGAAAAAGCAACAACAUAAGACUUACAUUCAAGAAAUGGAAUAAGGUCUAAAAGUGCGGUAUCAUCAGUCUCGACCUUAUAUGGCUUAAUAUGGACACAAUUUUCUGGUUGAAGGCUAGAAUCAAAUGCAUGAGCACUCACAUAUAAAAUCUUGGUUGGAUCCCUGUUUAGCUUUGAAAGAUCCUGCCAACAGGAACUAUUUGUUAACAAUAAGGCUUCUUUUUAAGUAGCAGCUUGUAAAGGCACUGUCUCAUAUAUUAAUUCACAUAGUAUUGUAGAAACUAAGGAGGAGAAAACCAAAAGCAAAAUGUUUUGAAGGGAAGAGAUUGACUAUGACAUGGUAAAAGUAUCAUGGAGGCCCCUAUGUUAGGAGUUAGAUUGCCUUUUGCCCCCUUUACUCAAAAACUGGAUAAAUUAGUCCCUAUAUGUUAGAUUAAAGAGUAAGCUAGACUUUCUGUUAAAAAUUUCAUCCAUUGCUACUGUUAAAAACUGGUGCAGUUGAUAAAAUAACCAAACAGUUACACAUAAUGUGUCACGUGUACCUCAUGCUAAUGUAUAUGGACCAAUUUUUAACAGUAGAAAUGGAUGGAACUUGUAACAGAAGGGCUGGUUUGCUUUUUAAUCUAAUUUACAGGGAUUAAUUUGCCCAUUUUUUUAGUAAAGGGGUGAAAUGCAAUAUGACUCCUAGUAUAAGGGCCUCCAUGGUACUUUUACCACUAUGACAUACUCUAUAAUGCUUGCCAUCCUGAUAUUUAGUAGCACCCCUUGAUAGCCUAUAUCGUAUACAAUGGUUAGUGUCCAACCUUUCACAAGCAGGAUCAACAUACCGCAUAGCCAAAAACAAAAUAAUUAUGAACUUGCAGGCAACAUCAGUUAUAGUAUAUCUGAAAAAGAUAAGGAAAAAAAACUGUUACUUUCAUAUCUAAUUUCUUUAUAGUAUUAGGACAAACUAAACAAUGGAUAUAUCACAUUAUUAAGACUUAGCUAAGGAGCCGCUGAUAUACAUUCAAAUGAUCAAUCAUAAAGGAUGAACUAGGAGGCCUAAUGAUAAAUCAAAAUUACACCUAAACCAGUUAUAUGUCUAAAGGCAAUUGCACAUUAUAUCAAUCAAACAACUAAAAUAAAUAGAGAAAAUCCUUUAAAAUAUUCAAUUUCUAAACAAAAUCAAACUCACAUCAAUAGCAGAUCUUGACAAAGAAACCCAAAAUCACAAAUGAUCCUAUCUUUUUAAAAGGGGAAAAAGAAAACUUACUAUAAGAGAGAUAACCAGCAUAGCCAGUAGUUCCAGUAACACCUGCAAUGAGUCCGUACUUGACAAAGCUCUAAAUUUUCCCUCCCGAAACCUGUGGGGCAACUUUCGGCGCCAGAGGAGGAGGUGUCGACUGAUCGGAGAGAAUGGAUUGUGAAGAACAAUCCAAACUUAAUUUACAAGCAAUGUGGAAAUUUUGGACGUUGCAGUAUUGACUACGUUUACUUGAGGGAAAACAAAGACAUGAAUGCUGGAAAUUUUAACUAGUUUGUACGGUCAAUGAAGCUACCUCGAAUGUUAAAUAUGUUACUCUGCAAUGCCAUUGUAAAUAUGACUGUUAAAUUUGUUGAUAGCGGAAUUGUUCCACUCAAGUUAUUGUGGGACAAAUCAAGAAUUUGAAGAAAAGUGACAUUGCAUGUUAAACAAGAGACCUCUCCAUUGAAACUAUUAUUUGAGAUCAGAAAGACAUUGAUUGUCGAAGCUGGAAUCGGAAGAUUUCCACGGAUCAAAUAGGAGCUUAAGUCAAGAACUACAAUAUUCUUCCAUGGAAAGUGCAAAACUUCUGUCAAAGAGUUGCUGUAAUUGGAUUAAUCUCAUCGUUGCUGCAAUCUUUUGACAAAUCGAAUCUUAAAUAUGUUACUCUGCAACGCUAUUGUAAAUGUUACUCUUAAAUAUUACUCUGUAACUAGAUUGAUGGCUCAAUCUUGUUUUUAACAUUGUUAUGGGUAUUACUACUUUCAUGCUUUGAUACGCGAUACCCUCUUUCUAGGUGACAUUUUUGCUCCUUCCGGGCCACCAUGGGCUCUCUGCAUCACUCACCAACCUCAUUAGAUUCCCCGGGUGCCAUUUGGCCAUCUCAAGUCUCAAAAUAGCAUCAAAAUGCACUCUAAUAAUUUAUUAAUAUAAAGAACUAAAACAAAAUAAAAACACAACAAAGAUAUCUAAAUUGCACGAAAAUAAGCUUUUAAGUGUGAUGGAGAGUCUAAUUUGACAUAUCAAUUAAUGUUUGACUAUCUCCAUCUCACUUUUUAUUAAUUAAGGAAUAUGAAUUAGAAUUAAUAUAAACUUACUAUUUUAACAUUUCAUAAGCAAAAGCUAAAAUAAUAUUGGUCACAUCCCAUAUCUUCAUAUAUAGCUUAUCAGACAAAAGUUAAAACAGCCUUCAGUUCAUCUACAUUCUACAUUCCACGUCGAAUCUGCAAGCAUCAAAUAUUAACCUUUGAACUCCAAAAUAACAACACCAAUUUCCAGCAAUUGCAGAAGAAUGUCCAAUAAUUCCACACAAAUUAACAACAAUUUGCCAGCAUCCACUACAUUCGUAUGAAUUCCACACAAAUUAAGACUGGAAACUCUAACUUGUUCAUACCCUCAAUGAAGCUACCUAAAAGUUAUGAAUUCCACUGCAAAUUUUGUAUUGCUUGGAAUGAAUUGACUGUAAUUUCCUAUUACUUGCCACAAAAUUUUCUUUUACUGCUAACUUGUAAAAAAAUUAUGAAAAUACAACAGAGAUCAUUGAGACAUUUUGUUCUCCUUUCUCCUUUACUGAGCAGUAGCAAAGAUUAUCGAGACUAAAUUGAAAGUCAUGAAAGAAGACAUAAACAACACCACCAUACAAAAUGUUACACUCAAACAAACCAUUACAGAUAGUACGAAAUGCAAUGAAAGACACAGGAAUUGGUACAACAAUAAAGACAGACACAUACCAAUGCAACCCUUCACCAUAGGCAAAACGGUCUACAGAAUAAGAAAUUAUGAAAAUACAACACUAAUUCUUGAACAUCAUUUCCAGUAAUUAGAUCCUUCUUCGUCUAUUGCUUCGAUUGCCUUUCUUUGACUUUCUUCUUCGCCUCAUCUCUUGUUGGUUUUCAACCAAAUUCACCAACCAUUUCGGCUUACCAAUUUGGAAAACAACAUAUCCCACGGACAUUCCGAACACCACUCUGCAUCCAUAACCUAUCAACACCACUUUCCAACCAAAAGCAAUGUUUGAUUUUGAGCCAUCUUUUUCAAGCGCAUUUGGAGGUGCUGGCUCAAUGAUGUUGCAACCUUUCGAGACCGGAAACCCACACAGUCCAUUAUUCCCUUCAUAUGAAUCAUUUCCAAAUGUGUUGAAUUGUUUUCCUUGAGGAAUCUGACCAUGGAGUUGAUUUUCAGCGACAUUGAAGGACGAAAGAAAUGGCAGAUCUGCCAAUCUAUUUGGAAUCGUCCCAGACAACCUGUUUGAAGAUAGGUCCAACCAUUCAAUACUUGUCAAAUUCCCUAUUGAUGUGGGAUACCACCAUUAAGGUUAUUAUGAGAAAGGUUGAGCCCUUUCAGUAAGUUAAGCUUCCCAAAAACCUUUGGAAUACCCCCUUCAAACUGAUUGUUUGAUAGAUCAAUGAUCAUCCACAUGGUGAAAAUUUUCACCAAUUCCAUAUAUUGUCCUUUCAUAACAGUUCCGAUGGAAUAGGUAUAGAAGCCAUUACCUCUCGGAACAUACAUCCCCAUGUACGACAUUGUACUCCCAAUCUUCUCUAGAUUUAUGAUACCCUUGAAGCUGUUGAUGUAUCUCACUGGUAGGGGUCCAGAAAAAUAAUUACUUGAGAGAAAAAAAAUUUGGAUUUUAGAGAAAAAAGGGCUAGACUUGGAGCUAUUGUCACAUAAGGAACCAUGCAUAUGAUUUGACUUCAAUACAAGAACUUGUAGCUGUGGAAGACUUCCCAACCAAUGAGGAAAUGUAUCAUUGAUCUUGUUCUUCUUCAGAUUCAAGAAUUGAAGGCUGUAGCUCAAAUUUUCAAAACAUUGCGGAAUUGUUCCGCUCAAGUUAUUGUGGGACAAAUCACGAAUUUGAAGAAAAGUGACAUUGCAUAUUAAAGAAGAGACCUCUCCAUUGAAACUAUUAUUUGAGAUCAGAAAGACAUUGAUCGUCGAAGCUGGAAUGGGAAGAUUUCCACGGAUCAAAUUGGAGCUUAAGUCAAGAACUGCAAUAUUCUUCCAUGGAAAGUGCUCAACUUCUGUCAAAGAGUUGUGAGAUACAUUUAAGUCAAAGAGCCAUUGCCCACCUCUUGCAUCCACUGUGGAAUCUUGCCUUCAAUUUUGUUGCAAGAGAGGUCCAAGCUUUCCAAACUUUUAAGCCCUUAUAAAAACUGGGGGAAUUCACUAAGAUUGAAAGAUGACAAACGUAAGUCUAUAAGAUUAGACAAUAUAUGGUUAACACAAGAAGUAGUAUUAAAUGUUAAGGAUAGGCUGUUAUAUGAAAGGUCGAGAAGUUUUAGAGUUGGAAGGUUUGAGAACAUGCGAAACUCUAUGACACCACUAAGAUUAUUUGAGGAUAAAAGGAGGUGGGUAAGAUUGAGAAGUUGGAAUAUUGAAGAUGGAAGAGGACCUUGGAGUUUAUUAUUGUUUAACCUUAUCAAUUCUAGUGUUUUGGAUUGGAAUUCUUUGAUAUGCCCACUGAAUUGUUUUUAGAGAGAUCUAUUGUUUAACCACGUUAUUUUUCAGUGACGGAUCGAGAAAUAAAACUUAGGGGGAGCAGGGGCGAAGUUAGAAAAUUAGUUUGGGGUAAUCGAAAUUAAAUUAUAUAUUUUUAUGAUAGUAAAAAUAGAAUUUCGUCAUUUUAAUAGCCUAUAUCUUUAUAAUUUUUAGAGGAUUAAAUUAAUUUUUUAUCAUUUGAGGGGGGCAAAGUGCAAUUUUACCGUUAUUAAUUUAAAAUUUUAUAAAUUAUAAAUGGCCUAAAUUUUAAAAAAAAAAUCAUUUUAGGGGGUUGAGACCCUGUCAGCCCUCUCCCUAGACCCACCCCUAGUCUUUUUGAUACAAUUUGGCAGUUUAAGUACUUAAUUAGUGCAAAAAAAAAAAAACUAGGGGCUCAAUAGCUUUUUUUUGAAAAAGUUUGAGAGCCUUUUUGAUCCAUUUUGGCAGUUCAAAUGCCCAAUUCAGUGCAAGAAAAGAAGUAGGGGCUUAAUUAUUUUUUUUUAAAAAAAGUUUGAGAGCCUUUUUACACCAUUGAACCUUUUUUAUACUAAUUGGUAGACGCGAAGUUAUAAAUAUUUAAUUGUUAAUGUAAUUUUUAGAAUUUCUAAAGAAUAAUAAUAUUUAAAAUCUUAUAAUUUUUUUUAUUUCAUGUGCAUAAAAAACUUAAAUAAAUAAGUGUUUAGAUUUAGAUUAAUCACGCUGUCCAUUUAUUCAUAUUCAUUCUAGAGGUAUAACUUUUAGUUAUUUUAUAUGUUUUUAUAAUUAAAAAUAAUGGUAUAAAAGUCGAUUAAGUUUUAGCUCAAUUGACAUAGACAUUGUUGUUGAGGAGGACCUAUUGGUAGUUCUAGGCAUUGUGUCAAAAUGAACUAUAUUUGAUAAGAACCUAUAAUGAAAUUAAUGUUAAAAAAAUAAUAGUAUAAAAAGCUAAUAUUUUUAUAAAAGUUUCAUUUUUUUUUCAGUUUUUGGAUUUUUCUCAUAUAAAAUUUUAGAAUUGUUUCUUGAAUUUUUAUAGCUUUUCUUAUUAUGAUGUUAUAUAAUUUUAGAUUUUUAUACAUCUUUAAUAUUUUUUUAGUUUUUUAUUGUUUCUCAAAUAAUGCUUGGUUGAUGUAGCUUGCCAAGUGGUAUCGUGUUAUUGGCUGUCAAUUUCAAUAAUAAAAAAAUUUGGAGUUGAUUAGUUAUGAACUAACUCGAUUAAUCAAUUCUAAAUUUAAGUACUAAUUAAGUCCAAAAAAAGUUCAAAUUUCAAUUCAUGCAAGUUGGAUGGCAAUGAAACGGGAUUGGGGUGCGAAUAUUGUCAAAUUCACUAUUGUUUCAUAGUUGAUGUGUUUUGUCCCAUCACUCACCCCCGCUCCACUAUGGAUGUUUAAUUUUGAAAACCACUCACCCCAUGGAUGUUGGAUGCAUCCAUCCCUGCUUCACGUCGUGCCAUUUCAAUUUAAUUUUUAUUAGUUUUUUUAAAAAUAUUUUCAAUUUUUUUUUAAUUUUAAAAUAUUUUCAAUCUUUUUAAAACUUAUAAAUAUUUAAACAUAAUUAUUCAAGAAAAACAUUUAAACAUAAAACAUAUGAGUUUUUUAUAACAUAUUUUUACCCUUUAAUAGUUAUAAAUAUACAAGGGUCGAAUAGUAAUUUCAAAUAGUGAAAUAGAGUGGAUUGGGACAAACAAUUACCAUAACUGCUACACUUAAUCAUCGUAAAAAAAAAAAAAAAAAAUCUAUUUCAUCCCCGCCCAUAUUCCCUUUUAAAAGGAUCUACUCUAAAUGAAACAAACCAAUUCAAAAUCCAUUUAACAUCCUAAAUUCUAAAACUAAUUUUGAUAUGAAGUCUCAAUUAAAUUCAAGUAAUAAGGUUUUUUGAUAUGGUUUACACUACUAACUUCUAUAUGAAAACAACAACCAUUUCCCAUGAUGUUUGCGGCUUACCAACAAAUCCUUGCAGAUUUUCAACGUAGAAGAAAAUCAUGAAAAUAAAAAAAAAAAAAAAAAAAAAACUCUGGUUGGGAUUUGUUUCAUAUGGAAAACAGAAAACAAAACUUAAGUUAGUCAAAAUUACCAACUCACUGCUGACAACAUUUUUGUUGUAACCAAACAUUUGGAAGAAAAUAAACACAAGAGCACGCCGUUGACCUGUAUUUCUUUUAUUCUUCAAUUCUAUUUCAUCUUUAAGCUGUAACCAAUGAUAAUCAAAUCUUGACUUGCAUAAAAACCAAAGAAAACAAAAUGAAUGCAGCAGAAUUUUCUACCACAAAUGAGUAGUAAUUUACAGAUAAUAAAAUUAUCGAAAAACUAUUGAGAGUCGAAUUUCAUAUUAAUUGUGGUAUCCAUGAACUAGAAUGUAUUAAAAAAAGAAGGAUAUUGACCUUGAGACUACUUGCAAUUUUCAAAAACACUCUCAAUUCCUCUCCCCCUCUUCGGGCACCGGCCCAAGAUCCUGCCAUUGGCUACCACGCCGGCCGCUAGUCGCCAGCGCCGGCGCCGUGCAUGGAGGAGGAGAGUCCAAAAAUAUCCUUUUUUUUUUCUCACAUGCAGAUCCUCGGCCUCCAAACACUCCGACGACGGCUACAAAGGUAAAAAGGCCUCUCAUUUUUUAUUUUUAUAAUGCUUCAAAAUAAAAAAAUAAAAAAAAGGGAAAAAAUCACCUUUAAAAAAAACUGAUUCCUGUUUUUUAUUUCUCUUUGUUUUUUUUUUUCCAAAAGAGAACUCCCUUAAUUUUUCAUCUUUUUUAGCCCUUAAACCUACGUUGUUUAUCAAUAACCUUAAACUUACAUUGUUUACCGGAUGAAAAAUUUAAUAUUUAUUAACUUUGCUAAGGUGCACAUAUGCAAUUUAUUUAAAUCUAAAAACUAUAAAAUAUCUUAAAAUUAAAACUAAAAGUUUUUAAACUACUUGAUUGCUCCUUUCUCCUUUACUGAGCAGUAGCAAAGAUAAUCGAGACUAAAUUGAAAUCCAUGAAAGAAGACAUAAAACACCUCCAUACAAAGUGUCACACUCAAACAAACCAUUACAGAUAGUACGAAAUGCAAUGAAAGACAGAGGAAUUGCUACAAUAACAAAGACAGACACAUACCAAUGCAACCCUUCACCAUAGGCAAAACAAGAAAUUAUGAAAAUACAACACUAGUUCUUGAACAUCAUUUGCAGUAAUUAGAUCCUUCUUCGUCCACUGCUGCGAUUGCCUUUCUUUGACUUUCUUCUUCGCCUCUUCUCAUGUUGGUUUUCAACCAAAUUCACCAACCAUUUCGGCUUUCCAGUUUGGAAAACAACAUAUCCCACCAGCAUUCCGAACACUACUCCGCAUCCAUAACCUAUCAACACCACUUUCCAUUCAAAAGCAAUGUUUGAUUUUGAGCCAUCUUUUUCAAGCACAUUUGGAGGUGCUGGCUCAAUGAUGUUGCAACCUUUCGAGACCGGAAAUCCACAUAGUCCCUUAUUUCCUUCAUAUGAAUCAUUUCCAAAUGUGUUGAAUUGUUUUCCUUGAGGAAUCUGACCAUGGAGUUGAUUUUCAGAAACAUUUAAGGACGAAAGAAAUGACAGAUCUGCCAAUCUAUUUGGAAUCGUCCCAGACAACCUGUUUGAAGAUAGGUCCAACCAUUCAAGACUUGUCAAACUCCCUAUUGAGGAGGGGAUAUCACCAUUAAGGUUAUUAUGAGAAAGGUUGAGCCCUUUCAGUAAGUUAAGCUUCCCAAUAACCUUUGGAAUACCCCCUUCAGACUGAUUGUUUGAUAGAUCAAUGAUCAUCCACAUGGUGAAAAUUUUCACCAAUUCCCUAUCUUGUCCUUUCAUGACAAUUCCAAUGGAAUAGGUAUAGAAGCCACUACCUCGAGAAUCAUUCACCCCCAUGUACGACACCGUACUACCAAUCUUUUCUAGAUUUAUGAUAGCCUUGAAGCUGUUGAUGUAUCUCACUGGUAGGGGUCCAGAAAAAUAAUUACUUGAGAGGUCAAAAAUUUGGAUUUUAGAGAAAAAAGGGCUAGACUUGGAGCUAUUGACACGCAAGGAACCAUGCAUAUGAUUUGACUUCAAAACAAGAACUUGCAAAAAUGGAAGACUUCCCAACCAAUGAGGAAAUGUAUCAUUGAUCUUGUUGUUACCAAGAUCUAGCACUUCCAGACCAUUACAAUUAAGGAUGGAUGGUGUCAAAGGCCCUUCUAACAGAUUUCCAUUUAAGUUGAAAUUAGUCAGUUGGCAUCCCUUUGCAAAUGUUAGAGGAAUCGUCCCAUAGAACUCGUUCUUCUUCAGAUUGAAGACUUGAAGGAUGUUGCUCAGAUUUCCAAAACAUUGCGGAAUUGUUCCACUCAAGUAAUUGUGGGACAAAUCAAGAAUUUGAAGAUAAGUGGCAUUGCAUAUUAAAGAAGAGACCUCUCCAUUGAAACUGUUAUUUGAGAUCAAAAAGACAUUGAUGGUCGAAGCUGGAAUCGGAAGAUUUCCACGGAUCAAAUUGGAGCUUAAGUCAAGAAAUUCAAUAUUCUUCCAUGGAAAGUGCUCAACUUCUGUCAAAGAGUUGUGAGAUACGUUUAAGUAAGUCAAAGAGUCAUUCCCCACCUCUUGCAUCCACUGUGGAAUCUUGCCUUCAAUUU